rnacentral:lncRNA from 1 species
AUAAACACAAGUCCGAAUACUUUGCAAAAGGUUUCAAAGAAUUGAAGAAAUGUAAGUUGAUGAGUAAGAUGUCUAAAGUAAUUACCUCCUUAGAUUUGAUCCAAGGAAAGGUAACACUUUAGAAUAGUUUCCUUGAAAGAUAUCAAGGAAAGAAACAUCAUAUGAUAAUGGAUUUCUCCAUUAAGAGAAGAACGAACACGAAAUAAGAUUUAGUUCGUUGGAUGUUAUCAAUUGCCCAUAUGUAGGAUAUAUACUUCUAAGACAAUAUGAUUGUCAAUUAGAAGAUCUUCCAAAAUUUUCAUGACUCCAUAGGAUAUAGUUGGAAAGAAAGACAAAUUUUAAUCAUGUUAAGAUUUGGGGUUGUGUGCUAAUAAGCAAUAUUUGUUUAAAGAAUUAUCUUGUGGGUAUCCUUAAAUUAACAUUUGGAUAUCACUUCUAUAAACCAACUAACAAAUGUUGUUUGUUGGGUAGUUCAUUGUAAUCCUACAAUAUAAUUUGCCUAGAGCAAAUGAACGAGGGAUAGAACUCAAAGAAUGGGUUCUUUGAGAAACAAGAUAGUGAUCAACAAAUAUAACAACCUAGUUCCUAUACCACAAGCUUCAAGGUAGUCGAGAAUGAUUUAUAAACUGUCUCAGUUGAAUGGUUUGAACUUUAUGACUAUGUCAUAGAGUUGCACCUCUUAAUUCGAAAGAAAUAAGAAUGAAAAUCCUUAUGACUACAUUGAGUGUAUAUACGAUAUAUACUCAAGGAAAUGGUAAAGUACCAUUUGACCCGAAAUAAUGAAACCUCCAUAGCUAAUUGGUAGCUUAAGGUGACUACAAUUAAAGAGAUUGGUUGACUUGGAAGAAACCAUCUUUGACGUAGUCUUGUUUUCAAUUAAUUCGAAGAUUGUUAGCUACAACUAAAUGAUGAUUCAAUGUUUGGACAUAAUAUGGGUUUCCGAAACCAUUAUUAAGAUAGUCUUGAUAAUAUAUGUCUAAAACUAUGAAUCACAAGACAUGUAAGUUGUAGAGAUCCAACCAUCAUGGAUCUUAGCAAGCUAGUGGGAGUUAUAAGCGUCUUAUGAGAGAAAGAUCAAAUCAAUUGAUUUCUCAUAAAGAUGUAAAUUAAUCUUUUGUUUACUAAGUUUACAAAAGAUUAGUGGGAGUUAAUCAUAUUCCUAAAAUUGAAUAUAUAUGAUAUAUUAAUUUUGGAAAUGAAAAGAAUACUUCUUCGUUAAAGUUAUGACUUUAAACAUUCUAUAACGAUAGAAUGUAUAUGGGAGAUAUAGUCUAAAUACAUGGGAUAGAAAUCUAUAAUGAUAUAUUUCAAGAUAUAAUUGGAUUAUAUCAAUCCCUAAUAAUAGACAAAAGAUGCUAGGAAGUUUCUCAUAUGAUGAUAAACUUCAAUUAGAAGGACGACUCUAGUGAGACUAGCAAGUUGCCCUUCUCAAAGGGAACAUACCCUUUGACUCCCAAAGAAAUAAUGCGUAAAUAGAAUCCUUUAUGCAUACGUAGAAAGGUGAUUUAUGUAUUUCAUAAUGUAUGAAAACAUUGAUAUGAGUUGUACCUAGAAAGGUACAAGACGAUAUCAGUGCAAGCCCAGGAUCAGAACCAUGGCAACUGUCAAGUGAGUCCUUGAGUAUUUAAGAAAUACUAAAAGAUAGAUUCCUCAAAGAAUGAGGAAGAAUUAGAGUAACGAAAUGGAAGCGUAAAUGUAUUAGAUUAUGAAUCUAAUCCAUCAUUGGAUGUUUCUUCAUUAUGAAUAAAGAGAUAAUCAGAUAUCUCUUUAUUAUGACUAAAAGAGAUAUUUGGAUGGAAACAUUAAAAGUAAUGACUUUAGUGUGUUCCAUUGUGAAUGCAAAAUAUAUUGCUAUAUAGAAGCUUACAACAAUGUUGUUUGGAUGGGAAAGUUCAUUUAUGAACUCUCUAUUCGGUUCCAACCAGAAAGUGUCUCUAGUGUACCGACACUACGACACUAAUGGGGCGAUAGCUCAAGCCAGGGAAUCAAGGUCUCAUCACGAUCCGAACUCAAAUGAGAGACUGAACCACAUGAUUGAGAAUCAUGUAUAAUGGUGACGUCGUUAUUCUCAAGGUUGCUUCUAUGGAUAACAUAUAGAUAUCCAUUGUCUAGGCCUACUACUCAGCCAUUUUUGAAAUGACUACAGAAGAGGUAUCAUCAGUGAUGACCAAGCUGAUUGGCGCUAGUGCAAGUGGGAGAUUGUUGGAAAUGUGCCCUAAAAUCAAUCAUAUGAUGAUACUUUACGGACAUUUCACAUGUUAAACUAAUCUAGUUUAAUAUCAAGGGCAUAGAUUAUUGUUUUAAGCCGUCUCAUAUAAAUGUUAUAUGCUUAAACGAUGAGUCCAAGGAAUAUGUAAUUAGGAGAAUGUAAUUUAAAGAAGUUAGAUUCAUGAGACCAUUCUCUUUCGUAUAUAUCCUAAACGUUCCUGAUCAUAGGAUUGCCAAUUGGGCAUUGACAGUCCGUUAAGAUCAGUAUGUCCUAUGUCUUCUCUUAGUGAGAGUGACUGGUCUCGAGUCAUUGGUGUAAUUGACACCAAGACAAGCAUGUAGGUGCUCAAUAGCGAAUGAGUCCACUGAACACGAUCAACGAGGAGUUCUCAUACUCAUGUCACAUGAGAACUCAUGGUUGGGAUAAUGCAAAGUAGUCCUUUGACCUGAGGCAUCAUAGUUGUCUUGUGGUUAGGUCCUUGAUCUUUGAUUAUGUCAAAGUCACUCCAUUCGCGGGUGUCCACGGCAUAGUUGGGGUUAAGCCACUUAGCCAUGGAGGCAAGUGAAUGCGCAACAAGGGAUCUCUAACAUUCAAACCGUUUGAGGGAGAAUACUCUUUGAUAUGAUUAAGAAUCUCUGGCCAGAGUAUGAAUGAGAUUUAGGAAGUCAUUCCAAAUCACAUUCAAAGUAAUCAUAUAAGUAAAUGAAUCACAUUAGAUAGUAGACAUGAAUAAACUAUCAAACCAAACAAUGUGAUAAAAAAUAUUGUAUUAGAGAAAGACCGUAUUGCAUUGUAAUCCUAAACUGAAUAGGUUCUUCACCUCUUUUGAUUAGCUUGGGUAGCCAUGACAUACUGCUAGGUGUCACUCAUGGUUUAUGGUAGCCCUAAAGGCGAGUAAUCACUAAAGGGAGAAUUGAAAGUAAGUUUUAAUUCACAAUCGAUCGUUAAGAGUAACAAUCGCCCACUGCCUCGCUAAAAGGAACCUAAUGGAUCGUACACCGUGUAAGGUAGAGAUUGAAGAAACAACGGAGAUGAGUAAGGAUAAUUAAAUGGUUUAAUUAUUUAUUUAUGGCUUGAAUUAAUUAAUAUGUUAAUUAAUCAAACGAAUAAGUUCGUUAUAGACCUAGGGUUAGUUUUGGGCUGCAAGACCCAAUGGGAUUUGAAUGUCAAGCCCAUUAACUCAAGUUGUAUGACAACUUGAAUAAACAAAGGGCUUGAAAGCCCAAUAAACCCUUAAGGCCGGCCAUUUAGAGAAGGGUAGUGAACUUGCUUUAAUUACAAGUUUGCCACUCUAAUGAAGGAAGGUAUAAAUAUGACUUUAUAGCCAAAAUUCAUUUAGGGUUUUCUUUUGGGGAAAGGAUGAGAACGCAAGCUUUUUUUUCUCUCUAAAGAGGCCGGCCACCCUAGAGGAAAAUAGCUAGCAAUCUUACUUCCUCUAGGUCACUCAUUUCUUCUUAAAAUCUUACCUUGGUGUGGAGACUUAGAGGUUCUCAAUUUUGAGAACUUGGAGAAACCUAUUCUUCCAUCCAAAUCCAUGGAUCUAAGAAGCAAGGAAUGAAGACCAUAUCUCUUGGGUGAUUAUCCUUUGCUUUUGCAAAGAGGAAUCUACAAAGGUAUAAAUUUCUCAACUCACUUUCUUUUGAGUUGAGUCUUGGUUCACCUAACUACUAGGCUUUGAAUUUCAUGGGUAAUGUUUUGUUUUGAGUGCAUGCAAGCAUGAUUCCGCCUUUAAUUGUUAAUUGCAUGCUAUAGAUGUUGCUCAAAUGAACAUGUUUUUCACAAUAUUUCCUUCAUGGUACUAAAUCACCAUUUGAGAGACCUUAUAUUCGCCCCAUUCGGAAGAACGUCGUUGAGUCUUAAGGAUAUUCGAGAUGACAAUGAUCAUAAAUGAAAUCACUGAAGAAAAUAAAGUGAAAAAUCAUUGCACCACCUCUAAAAAUGAACCCGAAGCUUUGCUUUGUCGGUGUGGAGCUUGGUGAUUGAGCAGUUUACUUGUCAUGGCACGACCGUUUGGGACACUUAGGUCGAACAAUGAUGCCACGAAGCAUCUUCUUACCCGAAGUAAGGAUCAUGUGCUUACAAGCACACUUGCCAUGUGACGACCCGUCCCGAAUUAUUGUAUAUAUUUUAUCCCCGAGUAUGUUAAGUGAUGAUAAUGCCCUCAUGGUUUAGUGACGUGGAUGUGCAUAAGCGUAUUUAAAUUAUUUUUCUCGCUAACGUAAUUAAAUCAUACUCGACGUCACGACAGCGUCGAUGAGUGUUAGGUCGAAUUCGAUUCCUAACGAAAAUAUUACGAUAAUUUAAGAGCGGGAUUGGGUAGAAAUAUAAUUUGGGUUGCUUAUCACAUAUCCACCAAUCACCUUAGCUCCUACAAUCUAUAACCAAAUCAAAAAUUGUGUUGGUUUUAUUUUAUUUGGAUAAUUUGCUUAAACCAUCAAACCCAUGGCCCAAUCCCGGUCACGCACACACACUAAAAAUCUUCCUCUCUCCUUGUUGGCCAAUCAAACGCACUCACACGUACAUACCCAUUUUCUUUCCUUUCUUCUCGAGUUUUCCUGCGUCCGUACACCGAGAACCCCACAUCCUCACGACACCCUCAAAAUGUCACGAAUCGAGCGUUAGGAACUUACCAUCACUCUCCUCUCGAACCUACGAGCUCAUCCAUACCAUUUGUUUGAAGAACGAACGUCGGAAUCGUGAGUAACCAUAAGCUCAGGAGAUUUUAAGGCUCGAGGUGGUUCCUAAUCAACUUAAUAGGGACCCAAGUUAAUUUUGGAGUGAUUUGGAUGUGGGGACACUCGGGUUUAUAGAGUUGCAGACUUAGCCGGAAUUUUGAAGAUUUUCCGUUCACUUCUCAUCGGUUUUAGGACCUCAAAGAGGUAUGGUUAUGUUCUCUUAGUUGAGGGCUUCAAAUUCAUGUGAAAUUUAGGAAUUUUGGUUGAGUUUUGAAGAAGAUAUUAAGAUUUAAAGAUUUUCCAGAAUUCGGCAAUACAAACGGCGGAUUUCGGUGAGUCACCAGAGAAGGAGGAGGAAUAUUCCGUCAACUUUGAUGGAAUAUAUUGACGGCGUCAGGUAACUUUAACGGAAUAUCCCCUAACACCGCUAGGGAUUCUGUCCAUGUGCCAGGCACGUGCCUGUGCAUGGCCGGCGCGUGAGGGCGCGUAGGAUGUCGAAAUUUUUUUCUAAAAAUAUGGCGAUGCUCGUGAUGUUAAGUAGGCCACGAUGGUAUAUUCAAACACCCCAAUUGAGCAACGUAUGUGAAGUUAAUCCUAGGUUUUGUUUAUGUGCUUUUGAAUUAACGUUAAACUAGUUGUUUCAUAUAUAGGUGAGACAUAUCUUAAGGACGAGCGUGGUCAGGCAAGACUUGAGGGCUACAACCCUGCUACUUACCAAUGAGUGGGCUUUUGUUUUCUAUAUAUACAUAUAUAUGCUUCAUGCUUCCCAGAAAUUGUUUUAAAUGAAAUUACAUCUUAAAUGCCAUGUCAUACUUGCAUUACAUUUUAGUAUUUGCAUUGGUAUAGCUAUGCAUGAUAUUGCAUGAUGCUGUAGAGGCCCAGGUAAGUUACAGGUGAGUACAUUGUGAUGAUAGUGGUUGCAUUGUGUUUGGUUAUUCGUGGAUGCAUCUAGAGCUCAUUAUCCUGCAUCCCGAUGUUAGUGCUCCCGCCCGAGGCUAGGGCAUAGCCUUCACAUGAUCGUUCACCUCCCUUACCGCACUCACCUUGGAUCCAAGUCAGGUGUUAACCUGUCAUACACACCACAUUAGGUGGUUCUGACUCGUGUGCAUGAUUAAAGUGGUGAGCUAUAGGUUCGGCCGUACAGGUCACAUUAGGUGACUUCGGCUGACAUAUCAUUUUACCUUGACUUCCAUCACCUGGCUUACACCUUAUAUUUACUGAUACACUUUGACAUGGCAUACUUUGGUUUUCACGUGACACCCCGACCGAGGUCAAGGCAUGCUGGCCUUCACGUGAGAGUGACGUAGCCAUGUGCACAGUGCGGAAGCGGUAAAGAUAGCAAUUAUACAAAUAAUUAAAAACCAGAUUACUAGUGUGCACUACUAAACAGAAAGUGAUAAGAAUUACACAGUAAACACUCCUAAUCAGAGCAUAAAGUUUAGUUGUAGUCCAGUAGGACAAGUACUAGUUACACAGUACCAUGAAUGUCCUAUUAUUAUUCAAAUAGGUCAGAACUGCGGAAGAUCCCGAGCCACCAACAGCAAUCUUACUUAGAACCUGGAAGGGCGCAAAACAGAAAACGUGAGUGGGCAAACACAAAUGUUUUACAAAAUCAUUUCAUUUAUCAACAUACUAACCCCUCGCUAUAAAACAUAUAAGAGUUUCCUAGAAUCAAGAUAUAAGCAUAUACAAAAAUAUAUCUGAAAUCAUAUCAAGUCAAUUCAUGCUUCACAUAAUCAUAUUCAUAUGUAUGCCAUGUCAAAAUAUAACAAAGUAAACAGUUCAGGUAAGAAUGAUUUCAUGGAAAUACGAUAUGUUAGCCGGAACUCCUGUGGUAGUCUAUACGGCUGAAUUCAUAACCCAAACUCAAUCUAGCCGGAGUCACUACUAUGACCUAUACGGCAUUAUUCUGCACAUAAGUCGGAACCACUAAAAAGGGGUCUGUACGACAAGAUUGGGUAUAAUAUAAUUAUGCUCAAUUUUACUCUCUCAAUGCUAGCUGUGCGAUAAUACGUUAGUCACCUACGAGUCGGAACCAGCUAUAGUGGUAUGUACGAUAAGACUGUGCACCUAAUUGGAUCCAAUGUGAGCAUAUGGUACGAGAGGUGACAUAAUAUACAGGCAUGUGCCAGCUCUCUUUGUGGCUAAAUCGCAAUCACCCUGGUGCAGUUUAUAAGCUCAAUGUUCAUCAAUGCAUUUAUAAUCAUUCUAUUCACAACUAAGGCCUUUGCCUCAACUAUUAUAUGAUUGCAUCUAACGUAUCGUUAGACUGCCUACGUACCCUGAAUAGGGAUCAAGUCAUUCGUAGUUCACAUAAUCAAACAUAACUUACCUGAACUUACAUGUGCCUCCACAGCACCACACACACACACACACACACACACACACACACACACACACACAUAUAUAUAUAUAUAUAUAUAUGCAACUAUGAAAUGCAUAACCAAAAUAUAAAGGCAUUUGGCAUGGAAAUUCAAGACAUACUUUCAUUUAAAUGCAUUUCUGGGAAUAUAUCAAGUAUAUAAAUAUAUACUGAAAACCAAAAGCCCACUCACUGAUAUGUUGACGGGUCGUAACCCCCGAGUCGCCCGUGGAUACGCUCGUCCUCGGAAUAAGUCUCACCUAUAUGCGAAUUAACUAUAAAAACGUUAUUUUAAAGCAUAUAGGCAAAACUAGCUAAUAACUUUUCAUACAUAGCUCAAAACGGGUAUAUGAAUAUACCAAUGUGAUCUACACAACCUCACGAACAUCGUGAUAUUUUUAGAAAAAUUUUCCUAUAGCUCACGCGUCGGGGAGGGCACGGCAUCACGAGCCUUCACGCGCAUCACCUUCAACCUCUAGACACCGGAAUAGUGCCACCGGUGCCGGAUUCUAGGCAGACCUGCAACUGCCUAUUUCUCUCUCAUUUUUGCACCAUUUUCUAUGAAAUCUUCACCCAAAUGUCACAAAUUUCAAAAGGAAGAAGGUUAUACCUCUUUGGAGCCUCAAAUCCUUCGAAAACACGUCGGAAAAAUCUCACCAAAACCGGCCACCUUCGAACCUCGUGAUCCCGACAUCCAAAAUCUUCAAACGAAGCACUCCGAGCUUUCUUGGGACCUCACUAAGCUCGCUAUAAGCUUGGAUUGUCCUAAAAUACAACCAUUCGAAAGUUCAUGAAUAGUGCUCAACUCGGAGCUUGAGUUUUCAACGUGAAAUUGAACGAGUUCUUACCUGAAAUGGGUACCUUUGUACUUGUAUGGUCCUCACGAAUACAAUGGUACCAAUUUCUUCUUCGAUCCGUGAUGAUUUGGCUUGGUUCGACCUUGUCCGUAUGGAGGAGAGGGAAGAGAGAGAGAGUGAGUUUGAGAAAGAGUACGGGAGAGAGGAGAGAGAAAGGGUAUGAAUGUGAGUGUGUGGUUCCAAAGUGUACACCAAUCACAACAAAAAAAAUUCUUACUUCCAAUUGGGUCCAAAUUAGUAGGGACUUAAUACAUUGGUCCUCAACCACAACCACACCUAGUCCCACGAUGCCACAAACGCUCGAGGGCAUUUUAGUAUUUUCACAUCAACGAUAACAAAAUAAUGUACAUUUUCGGGACGGGUUGUGACAAUUUCCCCAACUUAUAAAAUUUCGUCCUCGAAAUUACAUACAACCAAUACAUCCACUAAUAAUCAUAAAACAAGCGUGGAUACAUCUCUCUCAUCUGCUCCUCUGUCUCCCAAGUAGCUUCUUCCACUGAAUGAUUUCUCCAUAACACUUUAACCAGACGAACUGUCUUGUUUCUCAGUUCUUUAUCCUUCUAAUCCAAUAGAGUCACUGGUUCCUCAUCAUAUGUCAAAUCCGGAUUAAUUUCCAAAGGUUGAGGAGGAAUCACAUGUGAAGGAUCUGAAAUAUAAUGUCGAAGCAUUGAAACAUGAAAUACAUCGUGCACCUUGGAUAACUCUGGAGGCAACUCAAGCCUGUAAGCAACCUCACUGACUCGCUCGGUGAUCAUAUAUGGUCCAAUGUACCUAGGACUCAACUUUCCUUUCUUUCCAAAUUGUACAACACGUUUCCAGGGUGAUAGCUUCAGAAAUACCCAAUCACUUACAUCAUACUUCCGAUCAGUGGUAUGCUUGUCUGCUAAGCUCUUUUGUCGAUCUUGGGCCGCUUUCAAGUUAGACUUAAUUACCUGAACAUUUUGAGUAGUCACAUCCACAAUCUCAAGACCCACUAAAACUCUUUUGCCAACCUCUGACCAACAUAGAGGUGUACGACAAGAUUUCCCAUAAAGUGCCUCAAAUGGUGCCAUACCAAUGCUCGAAUGGUAGCUGUUGUUGUAGGCGAACUCCAUCAGAUUCAAACAAUCAUGCCAACUAUCUCCAAACUGCAACACUGAAGAUCUCAACAUAUCCUCUAAUGUCUGAAUGGUCCUCUCAAAUUGUCCAUCUGUCUAAGGAUGAUAUGCCGUACUAUAAAGCAAUCUCGUACUAAGAGCUUCCUGGAAUGCUAUCCAGAACUUGGAAGUAAAUAUGGGAUCCCGAUCCGAGAUAAUAUUAACUGGCACACCAUGGUACUUCACAAUCUGUGUAAUAAAUAACUUAGUUAAUCGACUUAACGAAUACUUUUCCCUUAUUGGAAUAAAAUGUGCUGACUUCGUAAGCCGAUCAACUACUACCCAAAUGUCGUCAUAACCAUUAUGUGUGCGAGGAAGCUUGUAUACAAAAUCCAUAGUAAUAUUUUCCCAUUUCCAUUGUGGAAUGGGAAGUGGCUGCAUCAACCCAAACGAUUUCUUUCUUUCAACUUUAACCUGUUGGCAAAUGGCACACCUACUCACAUAUUCGGCAAUUUCUCUCAUACCUAGCCAAUAGUAAAAUGGUCUAAUGGUAUGAUACAUCUUAGUGCCUCCUGGAUGCAUCGCAUAUGCCGAAAUAUGUGCUUCAUCCAAAAUUUCUUUCUUUAAUUCUGCAUUAUUCGGCAUAUACAUUCUGCUUUCCUGCAUAAGCAUGCCAUCUCUUGAAUUUCAAAAUCUUUCUUUUUGCCUUGAUUCCUUGCUUGAAUUAUUUCCUGGGUCUCCUUGUCAAUCAUCUGAGCCUCAAGCACACGAUCAAUUAAAACUGGCAUAACCUGGAAAUUAGCAAGCAAGGCUUCUCCUCGAUCUUCCACUCCUAGCUCCACUCCAAUGGACCUCAAAUCUGCUAAAAGAGGAACAUGACAAUAAUAGAUGGCAUUAAGUCUGGCUGGAGUCUUCCUUGCCAAAGUAUGUUUGAACUUGCAGUUCCUACACUGCCCAAGGUAACCCUAUUAUGUUACAAGUGGGAAAUGAAGCGUAAUGUGAUGAAUGAAAUAAUGCGAUAUGUUGCACGCCUUAUGGCACAAAGUUUCUCUCAAACGCCCUGUGAUUCACUGCAGCAUUACGAAUGUGAUUAGUGUUUCUUCAUAGGGAUAUGAAUUAUGCCCUUGCAUGUUAAACUAUUAAGUCUUAUUCCAAAUUGCUAGAGUUACAUUUUAUGUCAAUGACAUGAAUCUCACUAAAAUUCUGGAAGAGCUUGAGAAAACUGCUUGCACUUGAAGAUGAAAUUUGAGAUGAUGGAUCUUGAGAAAACUCAUUUAUACAUUGACCUAAAGUUCAAGCGUUGUUCUGAUGGUACUUUGGUCUACUAGUCGAACUACACACCCCUGAAGGUGUUACCUUUGAGUAUACUUAUGAUCUUCCAUAGGCUAUAUGCAAAUGAGACCUUGAAGAGGUUGUGGAAUCCAAAGUUCCAUAUCUGAGUUCAACUUUGCGCUUUGUUGUGCUUAGCUUAUUGCAUUAUAUAGGACAUCUCGUUAUUAAUCUGUUGGUAAAGAUGCAGCAUUACGCCUACACACAACCACUGAAUUGGUAUUAAAGACGUUUUUCCGCUACCUUGAAGGUACUACGAAUUUGGGCUAAUUCCAAUGAAUCCCAAGAAGAUUUGAGCCCUUGAUCAUCGGAAUGAUGCUUGCCUUGUUUGUUAUGCUGAUGCUGGUUACUAUCAAACCCACACAAAGCACAUCCCUGAAUGGUUUAUGUUUUUACUGUUAGGGAUAUUGCAAUAUCUUGGAGGUCCAUGAUAUGACCUUAGUUGCAAAAUCUUUGAAUCAUUCCAAGACUCAUUAUUUCACUAUGCCAUACGUGAGACAUGGUUGAGAGAUCUUGUUCAGCAUAUUCAAAGUACUUACUGUUUUCAUCCAUCAUUGAGUCCCAAUGAUGAUCCAUGAAGACUAUGCUGCAUGCAUCCACCUGACUAAGACAUGAUACAUCAACAAAGUCAACACCAAGACAUAUUGCGUUUACAUCACAUCAGAAAAGCAUCAGGAGAUUGAAGUCAUGCAAGCCGAUUUCAGACAACCUUGCCAACCUUUACCGACGUAGCUUCUUCCACUGAAUGAUUCAUCCAGACUGAAGGAUGAUUUUGUGAAAACUUGUUCAUUUAAGCAACAUCUAUUAACAUGCAAUUAACAGUUAAAGACGGAAUCAUGCUAGCAUGCACUUAAAACAAAACAUUAACCAAGAAAUUCAAAGCCUAGUAGAUUGGUGAACCAAGACCCAACUCAAAUCAAAACGAGUUGAGAAAUUUAUACUUUUGUAGAUUCCUCUUUGCAUAAGCAAACGCUAAUCACCCAAAGAGAGGGCCUUCAUUCCUUGCUUCUUAGAUCCAUGCAUUUGGAUGGAAGAAUAGAUUAUCCAAGUUCCCAAAAUUGAGAACCUUUAAGUUUCCACACCAAGGAUGGAUUGAUGAAGAAAUGAGUGACCUAGAGGAAGCAAGAUUGCUAGUUAAUUUCCUCUAGGGUGGCCGGCCUCUUUAGAGAGAAAAGAGAGCUUUGUGUUCUCAUCUUUUCUCCAAAAGAAAACCCUUAAUGAAUUUAGGCUAUAAAGUCAUUUAUAUAGUCCCUUCAAAUAAGUAACCUAAAUAACCAAAAAGCCAUUCUUCUAACAUGGCCGGCCACAAGGGUUUUAUUGGGCUUUUGUGAAUUAAUAGUCAUUAAGUUGUCAUACAACUUAAGUCAAUGGGUUUGACGUUCGAAGCCCAUUGGGCCUUGAGGCCCAAAACUAACCCGUGGUCUUUUAACGAACUUAUUCGUUUGAUUAAUUAACAUAUUAAUUAAUCCUUGCCAUAAAUAAUUAAACCAUUUAAUUAUUCUUACUCAUCUCCGUUGUUUAUUCAAUCUUUACCUUACACGGUGUACGAUCCAUUAGGUUCCUUUUAGCGAGGUAGUGGGCGAUUAGAACUCUUUCAAACCGAUUGUGAAUUGAAACUUACUUUUAAUUCUCCCUUUAGUGAUUAUACACGUUUAGGGCUUCCACAAACCAUGAGUAACACCUAGCAGCAUAUCAUGGUUACCCAAGCUAAUCAGAAGAGGUGGAGAACCUAUUCAGUUUAGGAUUACAAAUGCAAUACAGUAUUUCUCUAAUACAAUACUCUUGACCACAUUGUUUGGUUUGAUAGUUUAUUCAUGUCUACUAUCCAAUGUGAUUCGUUUACUUAUAUGAUUACCUUGAAUGUGAUUUGGAACGCCUUCCUAAAUCUCAUUCAUACUCUGAUCAGAGAUUUUCAAUCAUAUCAUAGAGUAUUCUCCCCAAAACGGUUUGAAGGUUAGAGAUCCCUUGUUGCGCAUUCAAUUGCCUCCAUGGCUAAGUGGCUUAACCCCAACGAUGCCGUGGACACCCGCGGAUGGGGUGACUUUGACAUAAUCAAAGAUCAAGGACUUAACCACAAGACAACUGUGAUGCCUCAGGUCAAAGGACUACUUUGCAUUAUCCCAACCAUGAGUUCUCAUGUGACAUGAAUAUGAGAACUCUUCGUUGAUCGUGUUCAGUGAAUUCAUUCUCUAUUGAGCACCUACAUACUUGUCUUGAUGUCACACACACACCAAUGACUCGAGACUAGUCACUCUCCCUGAGAGAAGACACAGCACGUACUGAUCUUAACGGACUGUCAAUGCCCAAUUGGCAAUCCUAUGAUCAGGAAUGUUUAGGAUGUGUCUACGAAAGAAUGGUCUCAUGAAUCUAACUUCUUUAGAUUGCAUUCUCCCAAUCACAUAUUCCUUAGACUUAUCGUUUAAGCAUAUAACAUUUAUAUGAGACGGCUCAAACAAUAAUCUUUGCCCUUUAUAUUUAAACUACAUUAGUUUAACUUUGUGAAAUGUCCGUAAAGUAUCAUCAUAUGAUUGGUUUUAAAGCACAUUUCCAACACAGACAACCUUGCCAACCUCUACCGACGUAGCUUCUUCCACUGAAUGAUUCCUCCAGACAACCUUGCCAAUCUCUAGAAGCUUGUCCGAGGAAUUGAUAUGCCUAACUAUUCAUAUGCAAUGCUUGUAGUUCUCAUUUGGAAGUUCUAUCAAACUUAGGAGGAGUAUCUAGAAGUAUACUUACUUGAUCUUAAUAUACUCUUUUUCUUUACGAUUAGGAGCAUUUUUCCCACUGAAUUUUUGCUACCUAACUAAAUUUUGACGAGGCACCCCAUCUUAGGCUGGUCAUACCCUUGUGAGCUCUUCUACUUGCAUCCAGAAGACGUUUAGUUUUGACUUAAUACACGUUUAGUUUUGACUUAAUACAACUUCUCACUUUUCUACUUAGUUAUGGGUUUUUAUCCCACCUUGGGUUUUACUAUAACGAGGUUUUAUGAGUUUUACCUUUUAUGCAUUAUUCCAUUGAUUUGAGACUCACAUUCGCUCAUUGUGCCGACGACUUUAUCAACUGUACUUACUUCAUUGCUGAAGACUUGAUGCGCCAUUUAAUUGAGUAUUUACACACUCAAGGGAGAGUGUUGCAGUAUUAUUAGAUUAGGAAUGUGAUUGUAUAAAUCCUAUCAUAUCUGGGAUAUCCUUAUGAGAUUCUACCAUAUCUCUUAGACUAAAUAUUAUCCUAUUAUAAUAGUAAUCCUAUUGGGGUAAAGAAUUUACCUUUCAUACUACUAUAAAUAAAUAAACAAUGGGAUGAGAUAAUACACAUCUCAAAAUUAAACAAUGGGGUGAGAUAAUACACAUCUCAAAAUUACGCAUCUUCUCUCUCUCUUUCUCUCUCUAUAAUUAUUCAGUAAAUUAUGCCUAUAACACGUUUGUAAUUAAAAAAUAAUGUAUAAAUGAGAUCCUUCAUAAUGAUCCAGCUCUGCAAGCCAAGCUCUGCUCGUGAUAGGCCCAAUGGGUGGUGGGCCGAUCAAACAAUUGGACUUAAACAUUGGGCUCAGCUAGCUAACCUCUUAUUAAUCAUGCUGUGCCAUGCCUUGUUUAAAAGAAACUUUAACGAAAAUCUCACAGUACUGUUCACUUUAACGAAUAACCUCAUUUUUACACUAAAAAGUCAAUCAUGGUACGAUUCACUUUACCCUUUAUUUUGUUCUUAUCGUUAAAUUUCAAAGUUUUCAAGUCAUUUUUAUUAAUUUUCCUUUAUUUAAAUGAGCUUAGUCUGUGGCCAUGCCGUGCUCGGCACAUCCAUCGACUUCUUAUAGCGACAAAAUAAAUUAAAACUGAUGUGCAUCAACUUCUCGAUGUCCAAAUGCAUAUCGAGCCUGACACAAUGGUUCAUUACUAAUGAAUUUGAUGAAAGGGCAUCUUACUAUGAAUCACAAGAAAUCAGAGACUUACUAUUAGGAGAACCACGAGAAAUCAAAGACUCUCGACGGAAUCAUAAGAUAUUGGCAACUGAAACUACGAAAAUAAAGUCUCAAUACAGCAAAUCAAAUCUCAGAGCUCUUAUCUUCUUUAGGAGGUGCAAACUACUUGCAAAGGUUGGAUCUCGCCCAAGGAUCCAAAGGAACUCUCUGAGGUGGUUGGGGGGCUGGUGGUUUUGAUUGUCUGAGCUCAUUUUCUCUGUCGAUGAACCUAUACAAGUUUGCCAACACAUAGUUAGAAUGUAGCCCAACAUCAACCAGUAUUGAUCAAAACAGUCAGUGAACCACUGUGUGCUAGUAGAGUUAUCUGAUAUAUAGAAUUGUACUCGUUACUACUGCAAAUUAUAAGAAAAACUGAAGACAGUGCAUUAUUUAAGCAAUGGGGUAGGUAGACACUAGACAAGUAAAUUGUAUUGCUUAUGUUUUUUUCCUAUGCUUCCCAUUUUCUUCCUCUUGUUUUUCCAUCCCAAGGAGAAAAGUGAGGGUUUAGAAAGCAUCACAUAUUGGACAAUCAAUGUCCGCAAAAAUUUGUAAAUUAAACAAACACUGCAAAAUGAAUUCAGUAUGGCAGACAAGUAUACAAAGAUGGCUAAGAAGGCAGAGUUACUGAGGAUCAAAUAUAUCAAUAAAAUGCAAAAUUACCCCAUUUAUUCAUAUAUAAUCUUUGUUUAUUUUCCAAAAGACUCCUACCCUAUUAAUAUGGAAAGAAACGACAAUUGCCCAUCUACGGACAUAAAAUGAAUGCUUGCAUGCACCAAAUGCACUCAGAUUAUUUGUUAAUCAUCGUACUCCCAGUAAUUUGCUUCUCCUUUUGGUAUAUAGGAGGGGCAAAUACCCCCAAAAGAAGGAGACAAACUAUAUCGAAACUGUCCUUGGUUUUUUUCUCAGAAAUUUUUUUUGGAAUUAUUCUCGAUAUUUCAUUUUGGUGCUUGAUUUCAUUUGGCAUUUUUUGGCUUCACUUGAUUUUAUUUUGGAUUCGAAUUGAUGGGUUCUGCUUGGGUGGAUUUGUUGUCUCUUAGUUUUUAUGUUCAAGAUAACACAUAUGAAUAUGCCUAUAUAUUAAAAUCUAUACGGGUCUUAAAUGGGUCAUUUAUACCCAAAGGUUAAAAUGAGUGGCCAUACACUCUUUUACUUAGGCAUUUGAGCAUGGGUAAAACCAACUUUACAAGUUUUUAAAUUGGACAAACAUAUUUCUUUUUUGUUUUAUUUGUUUUUGCCAGACAGACAAACAUACUUCAAUCAACAAAUAAAUAACAGCCUUACUCAAUAUAGGCCAUAGGUGCAGCAUCACCAACUCGUAUACGAGUGCGAAGUAGCCUUGUGUAUCCACCUACUCGAUCUCUGUAACAUAAUAUCCAACCAAUGUAACAAAUGAAAAUAUAGAAGACUUAAAAAACAAGAGGUUUGAGGUUCACUUGUAUCGAUAAGCCAUUUCAGUAAAUAGCUUGUGAAGUACAUUAUCCCCACGCACAAAAGCAGCAGCACGCCUUGCGGCACACAAGGAGCCCUGUCUCAAUAUUGAAAGAGAACACAAUCACGUGAGAAAAAAAAAUCCAUACAAAUGGAUCAACAAUGAAGAUAUUUCCAGAACUUUGCACCGCAAAACAAGAGUACAAGCAUAUUUCAAAUUUCAAUACAUCAUGUUCAUAUAGCCAAAUAUUGAGUUAGAACUUUGGUAAAUACCCCCAUAAAGUGUUUAUAGAUAAAAAUAAAAUUACAUAAACAUAUUUACUCACGAAUGUCAAAGCACUGUAUCAAACUACCAAGUUCUGGUUAAGAUAGAAAACUUUCAAAUAAGUGAUAUUUAUCAUGAAGCUCACAGCUGACUGUAUCGGUUCUAUGGGGCAUGACUUAUUGGGCAUUGGGUAUUCUUGGAUUUUUCAAUUAGAUAUUAUUUUGCUUGUAGAUUAUGUUGGCAGAUGCUGGUUCACAUCCAACAAUUAACCCCUUUUUCCCGAACCCAAAAGAAAAUAAAAAGGUAUAUGUAACCUCUCUAAUCAAAUAUUAACAUAUGCAUUUCGGUAGAUAUUUUUUACCCAAACAACAGUCCGACUAGCGUAUUUCUCAUUCAAACAACUAGCAAGGCUUUCAACAGAAAACUGAUGCAAGACCCAAUGACAAACACACACAGGGUGAUCAAAUCAUCAAACAUUCACUAUGUUUCACACCCAACAACUAAAGAACACAGGGUGAUUGAAUCACCAAAGAUUCACUAUGUUUAGAUUAUUUGGAAAUCCACAGAACAUCUAUAGACCACCAAAUAUAAGCACCUAACAUGUUUUCGAACUUCAAAAUUUUCAACACGUGCAACUCAACAUCACUCCAAUACUUGCACCUCACAUUUCAAUCUCAUGUUGGGCUAUCUAAGAUUGCAUAAAAUUUUCUAUCCAAUUGGAAUAACGUCACAAUUUACAGAAUUUCAAACUUGGGAACCAGGAGUUACUCAAGCAUGUGUUCCUCAUGUACAAAUCAGAAGGUGUGUUAUUUCAAACCUAUUCAUUUCUGUAAUUAAAGAGAAGCAGGGCCUAUAUGUUAACCGAAACAGUCACUUUAAGAUUCUCUCCAAUGGGCUAUAGCUUACAUAAAUCUCUGUCAACGAAAAACUUCAUCUUCUAAAACCAAUUAUUAAAUAUAACAAUGUAAAGCCCGCAAAUGUAAUAUUUAAACACAAUUAUAGCAGAAUCAAAUACAUACAUCUUUUCCAAGCUGCACCAUUUUAUCAGCCUCGCGACGGAUCUCUUUGGCCUGCAAAUAGAACAAACAAAACAUUUAAACCUAAAGUUUAAAUUUGCCGAAACAUCGAAGCUUACGGUGAAACUUUUUGUCCUUAUAAACUUGUUUGACCAUGGCAUAAAAAAUGUAUCAGGGUUCAGGCACCAAAAGAAAAGGAAUUUUAAUAUAAUUAUUACAAAAAAUACAAAAUCAUAGACAGAAGAGAAAUAUAAUCAGAUAGUACUGUUUCAAUCAAAGAAAUUAACUAAAACCCUAAACCCAGAAAACCUCUAAAUUUGUAAAAUGUGGGAAAAUCCCAACAAAUAAACGAAAAAAAGAGGAGGAAUAAAAAGAGAAGGAAUAAAAAGAGAAGGAGGUACCUUGGAAACAGUGGUCUCAAUGCGCUCGUGCUUCACCAACUGCGACACCAUCGUCCUGCGCAUCAAACCACACUAAUUCUUUCAACCAUAAUUACAUUAACAUUUUGAGCUUCGAAAGCUAAACCUGUGAGAUUAGGAACCUGAGCAUGGACAUGCGGUGACCCGUGGGUCGGUUUAGCUUCCUGAACUUCGUCAUCCUCCUCCCUCGCGAGCCUCGCCUUCGCACACUGACAGUGAGAAGAAGAGGGGAGAGCUUGGAAAAUUGAAAAUACCAAAAACCCUAGGGUUAAGAUUCGGGUUUGAGGGCACCGUGGACUGAGCGGAUCAAGGUUACAGAUUUGGGCUCAAAAUUCAGUGGAUCGAUCCUUACAUUGGGCUGAGCUUAAACAUAAGAGCUCAAUUCGAGAGAUAUAUGGCUUAUCAUCGUUGCCUAUGGCCCAAAUACCCUCCAUUCUCUCGCCAAAUGCGAAUUCAAACUAUAAUAUUGCUAGCUCAUUGUUAGAUUAAGACCACUGCCCACCUGUUCCCCCUAAUGUCGUUUGUUAAAAAAAAAAUUUCCAUUUUGGGCGGAAUCAAAAUUAGUGACACUCUUCCCAUCUAAAAUCAUCUUAUACCUUCAACUUAACAAAGAGGAGAAUUUCGACCAAAAAAAAAAAAAAACAAAGAAAGAAAAAAAAAACAAAGAGGAGAAGCCUUCAACCUUCCCAACUGAGAUUGUUAUAAACCUUUUAUUUGCCUCAAAACUUAUGUUUCAAUGUGAAUGUACCGCCUACCUAACUUUUUGUUAAAAAUUUAGUCAAAUCAAAUUGUUUAAUUUUUCAAGAGUAAAAAUUAGCAAGGUUCUAAAAAACACUAGGCACUAGUCGGGCGGCGGGCUGGCGCCUAGCGCCUAUGCGUAUUUAGGUAAAUUUAUUGAAUAUUUUGUAAAUAAAUGCAUAUUGACACUUACAAAAAAUUAUACUUAUAUGAAAUCAACAGAUAAGAUAAUAAAAUAAUGAUAAAAUGCAAAAACAGUAUCCAACAAGUCCAAAUUUUAAAAAUACAUUAAGCAUAUAUGCCAUAUAACCAGAGUGAGGAGUAUUGUGGGAUGAAACAUGUACAACAAGUUUACAAUUUAAAACCAUAUAAAAUGCAAAAUAGGAGGAAAAUAAAGAAAUAUAAUAAUGUAAGAUACUUAUCUGUUAAAAGCCCACGAUACACAUUAUAUAGUUUGCAAUUAAUUUUGUAACAAUGCAAAUUGCUUUGGUACAAAUAUGUUAAAAGACCUUUACAAAUUCCGAAACAAAAAAGAUUUCAAUUUGGAAACCAUUUCUAAAAGUAUGAAAAGGCCAUGAAUUUUUACUUAAAGAUUUCAAUUUACAAGCAUAAAACUCAAAACAUGCAUUCAAUACCUAUUCCAGAUAAAUUUGGAAUAUAUUGCCUCAAUAAGUACUUUUGUUUGUUCGAAAUUAUAUUGUUGCACCAUACUCUUGAAGGAGCUCAGAGUUAUGGUAGAACUCUUGGAUAGUCUAUAAAGUUAUUUACAAGGUUCUAAAAAACGUUAGGCGCUAAUCGGGCGGCGGGCUAGCGCCUAGCGCUUAGGUGGAUUUAGGUAAAUUUCUUAUAUAUUUUAUGAAUUAAUUAAAUUUAUUAUAUCAAAUGUAAAUAAUUAUUGACUUAUAUGUUAUUUCUUAUAAAAGAAGAUACAUAUGUGAAUAUUUUUUGUACAUAUAUGAUAUACUUGCCUAGGAAAAAAUACAAAAUAUUAUCUAAAUAAUUUAUAAUUUAUAUAAGAUUUAUAUAUGUGUGUAUAUAUAUACACACACACACCAAACUUUUAAAAAUAUAAAAAGCCCACAUGGUGGGUGGUUUUCAUUACUAAAACCAUGAAACCGUCCACCUCACCUCUACUCUUUCACAUCACCUGUCCACCUUGUGGUUUCAUAAUUAAACCAUGUCAGAGUCCAUAGUUCUAUAAUUAAAACCAUGCUUUUGACCUUGGAUUCCCGGUCCUCAACUUGCACGGUUGCACAUGCACCACCACAUAUUCAAAUGUUUAAGCCUCCUUCUCUCUCUCUCUCUCUCUCUCUUUCUUUUCGCACUCUCUCUUCUCUGAGUUUUUUCCAAAAAUCUCUAGCAAGCAGCCAUAGUUUCCGAUGCAGGUGCAGAUGCCAAAUGCGAGGUGUGAGAUGCGAUGCAGGUGUUGGAAACUUGGAGUUGCAGAUGCUACGAGAGUUCGAGGUGAGAGAGUUACAGUCUUGCAGAGCCUUCAGUGGUGGCGAGAGUUGCAGAGCACCUUGUGCGACGGCAAGAAUUUCAGACCGCCUAGAGCGCCGCCUAGCACUGUCUAGACCGCCUAAAUCCCCACCGAUUUUUUAAACGAUUUUCCCCAAAUCGCGGCGGGCUUCCACCGCCGAACGCCUAGGCGGCAGCCUUGAACAUUUUUUAGAACACUGGCUAUUUAGUGUAUAUUGUGUAGCCAUGAAGUCUAAUCAGUGGCAAAUCCAUAAAAUAAUAUUAGGGGGUCAGUAAGAAUAGCGAGAGCAGCGCGCAAUUUUUGUUUUUUAUACCAGAAAUAGCAUACAUAUUGCCAUUUCAUCAAGUCUUGGUAGGCUUGAAGGCAUUUCGAAAGGCAUAAUGCACACCUGUUAAUGCCUCAUUUGUGAGGGUAACUAACAUAUUUCAAGGCUGCUCCCCGAUAGGAGCAUAUUUAUGCGACUUUGUUAUCUUAUUUCUUUGCAUUUACUUAGUUAAUUUCCAUUUAUUUUGGUAAUUUAAGCUAUUUUCGUAUUAUUGUAGGUCCAGUUGGUAAAGAUGACAAUAAAUAGCUAAAUGGAGCAAUUUGGAGUAGUUUUGGACUUGGAUUGGAUAGCAUGCGUGGAUAGCAUAUAGGCUGGACAUUUUUUGUGUUUAAAUGGUGCUAAACAUGUGCUAAAAUCUAGAGAAAUUAAAGUUGAGGCUUGGAAGACAAAGAAUUACACAAGAAAGAGGAAUCCUAGUUGGAGAGGAAAAUUACCUUAUCUUAUCUUAUCUCCAGCUGCAAUGAGGAAUCCUAAUCACAUUCCAACACUUUCUACCUAAUUUUUAGAGUCCUAAAAUAACUCAAAAAUGCCAAAACCUUUUCUUCCUUGGAUUCAGCCAUUUUCGCCUAUAUAUAUGAAAUUCUUGCAGAGAUUUAGGAUGUGCCAUGCAUACCAUUCAUCCAUUGAAGUUGCUGGAAUUUUUAGAGUUCUUUCUAUCUUUGUUUUAAGUUUCAAUGUUUAUUUUAGAUGGCUUUUUAGUUAUGAUAAACAUGUGUAACUAAGUUUCCUUUUAGCUAGAGGUGAAUUCGAAACCAUGAUCAUAUGUUUUAUAUAAAUUGAUUACAUCCAGUUAUUGUUCAUAAAAUAUGAAUGCGAUUUACUUAUUUGCUUUAUAGAGAACUUAUUCUUGUAUGUUUAUUAAGGGUGCACACUUAGUUUGCAUGCAUGGAUUUGAUGCUAGAAUAUAAGGGAAUUUCACCUAAUCGUUAUGAACUUAUAUUUGCAAGUAGUAAAAAUCACUAGUCAUGAUUGAGUUAAGUAAAUUCCUGACAGGAGUAUCAUGCUUUUCAUAGUUACGAAUAUCUUGUCAAUACUUAUAAUUUUCAAAGAACUUAAUGAUCUUUUGAGAUGUAUCUCUAUCAUGCUUUUCAUAGGUAUGGAACUUGAGAAGAAUAAUUUGGUUGCGUCACUGAGUCGAAUUCAAUGAACUUAGGAAAAUAUGAGAAUUAAUUAAUGCUAUUCACAUUUAAUUUGGAGCAUUGUCAUUCAUGGUUUAUAGGAAGAAUAACUAUAAAUCGAUUUGUAUGCAUAUGUUUCAUGUGUGGAGAAGAAUCCUUUAGCUAUCAUUUCAUCCAUAUUUCAUUCACAACUUAAUUUAUUUGAUGCCCUUUACUUUUAUUUUAAUUAAAUUCGUCCAAAAUCUCCCCUCUCAUUGUUUUAAUGUUAGUUUAAUUUAGUUUUCAGUUUUAUAAGUUUAGUUUGUGUUGAUUAGCAUCCCUUCUAAUCCCUGGAAUAGAACUAUCCCUACUUACACGUACUACGCUCGCAUAAUUUAUAGGGUUUAAUUUGUGCGUUAGUUUCUACCACAUCAAAUUUUGGCGGCGUUGCUGGGGAUUAGUAAAAUUGCUAAUCGCUCUUUUUUUUGUUUAUUUUUCUUUUGAUAUUUGAUUUAGUUUUAUUUCUUUGAUUUCAGGUACUAGAGAAGCAAGACAUGGCAAUUACUAAUCUUCAAGCUCAAAUGGUAAAUCUUACUUCUCUUAUGUCGCAGUAUGUUGAAAGGUCCACAAUGCAAAGUGUCCUUACAUUUGGUGUGUCCUAUAGGCAAGGAUAUCAAACUAAUCACCAUCUUCAAUUAAUUGAGAAUGGAGGUGGGAGAGAUCAUUCAAAUUUUAUGUGGAGGGAACUUCAAAAAGUUCAAGAAGAAGGAUAUUGGUAGCCAUUUGAGGAGUUCUAUUCAAAACCUAUGCAGCCACCACAACCUCCCCCACAACAAUUCCAACCAAAUUCAAGCAUUUCCAUGGAUCAUGUUCAAAUUCUUCGAAUACUAAAUACUUCUUGGGCUUCUUUGACUCAGGAUCUAGAAAACCUACCUAAAAAGAUGGUCGAAUUGAAAAAUCAACUUGUAUAGAUCACAGAAUUCAUGGGACAAAUUCAAGAACAAAGUGAACUCUCCAACUCAACUAUUGUCAAUUCAACGGGAGAUUUUGAAAUUGCUGAUGCUAUCACGUUGGGAAGUGGUAUGGAGGUUGGAGCUGAACCAAAGAUGUCCAAACAUAGCCUAGAAGUGGACAAAUAGUUGUUGUCCGAAGAGGAGGAGGAAGACUCAGCCACGGCAAGCUUAGAAGAACCCUUGCCGCAUCACCCAAUCAUCUCUAAUCCUAGUGUUGUAGCCACCCUAGCUCCACCACCACCCAAUUCAAGUAAGGCUGUUCCAAAUUCAAUUCUUUCUAACCCUAUUCCACCAAAUGUACAUUUUCCUCGCAGGUUUAUUUAAUCCAAGAAAGAAGAUAGUGAAAAAGACAUCUCGAAACCUUUCCAAAGAUUCAAGAGAAAGAAGUGGUUGGGGAAUAUCUAGAAUUCAUCAAAGAGGAUGUGCUUGAGACAACCAUCCCCAAAGAAGUUGGAUUUUAUGACACGGGACAAGUCACUGCUCUCAUAACAAAUCUGGCUAAAAGCAACAUUCCUGGAACUUUCGAAGUAGUGUUUGUCGUUGAGAUCUUGUCACAGCACAAAGGUAAGCCACCUCCUAAAAUUUCAAUUUCAUUUUCUACUAACAUGUUGUUGAUUUCAAUGAUUCAGGCACCCACUUUAGAAUUUAAACCAUUACCGGAUCAUUUCAAGUAUCACCUUCCAUUCAAAGAUCAAUUCCAUUCCGCCUAGUCCUAGUGAGGAUUAAAUGGAGGUAUCGUCCGGCCGGAAGACAUUAAAGCAAACGCUUCUUGGGAGGCAACCCAUGUAUUAAAACAAAGAGACAUUGGAAUUUCUAGCUCCUACAACCAGAUUUGCUUUCUUUUACCAUUCUCUUUUUGCUUUUUUUGCUAUUGUUGUUUUUAUUGCUUUUUUGCUUUUCUUGAGAAUUGUUUCUUUGAAAUAAUUGCACUUUUAAAUUGUGUUAUUCUUAAUUUAAAAAAAUGAUUGCUUUAUUACAUGAGGAUUUGAUUUUUAAUUGCAUUGUUAAAGAAAGUUAUAAACAUGGGUGUAAGUUUGAUAUGCUAUUUGGUUAUUACAGUUAUAUUUGUCAUUUACAUGAAAAUAAUCAAAAAUCUAACAUGCUUGAAGGAAGAACGCUACAACCCUGUGAGACUUGAGCCUAUUAUUUAUUUGGAGAGUUAUUAAUCUGUGAUAUUCUUGCUUUCUAAAGUCAUUGCAUGAUCUCAUUAUUUCUUUGCUUGGUUGCUACUUAGAAUGCUUUUUCGUCAUUUUAGUUCCAAAUACUAUAACUCAUGCCCAUUUCAUUUAAAGCGUAAAAUUGAUUGCAUAAUAAAUAACAAGAUGAAGUUGUUUAGUUACCACUAGAGCCAAAAGCCUUAUCCCUUGCAUAUGCAUUUUAGGUCUAACCCCUUUGAGCCUUAUUUAGCCUAUUUUCUUUGUUAGCCUGCAUUAUCCCUACCUAGCCUAGUAUAGGAAUAUCCAUACCCUUGUUCUUAAAGAAUAGUAAAGCAUGACUUAUUGCGAAUUCCAUUUGAUUUACGAUUUGCAGAAAAAACAAGUGUGGGGGGAAGGAUUUGUUUUUGUUUUUUUGAAUCCAGUGAAGUAGUGCGUAUGUUUCAAAGAAAAAAAAAAGAAAAAAAAAAGAAGAAAAACGAAAAAAAAAAGUUGAGAAAAUAAAAAAAGAGGUUGAGAAAGAAGUGAGAAUGAGUUCAUAAGUGUUCGUUGUUGAAAAAAGGUCCAAAAAUGUGAAUUUGACCCCUAAGUUGUACGAAUCUCCCCGUUGUGUUUAUAGUUGGGUGUUGCAAUCAAAAGUUGAAUUCUAAGUGUUGAUUUCAUUACUUUGCUUAUUAUCACUUUAAGAACCUUUGUUUAUCCUUAACGUUUAUUUGUUAGCCAAUACUUUAGUCCCAUUACAACCCUUAGACUUUUAUCUUGAUUGUUAUGUGAUUCAAUAUGUGGAGUUUGAAAUUGGUACGAGCAUAUGGAAUCCCUGGUUCUCGCUUCUAAGUAGUGGCACUCCGUUCAUGAGAUCAUAUACAUGUUUGUAUUAAUAAUUUCAGAAAGUCCCUUCUUUGUUAUAACAUAUGUGAGUGCUAGUCUACAUGUUUACAUCAAGUUUCUCAUAUAUACUUCAUAUAGGGAGUGUAAUCAGAAAAUUUGUGUGAAAAUAGAGAGUAUAUCCGGUGAGGAAUUGAGUGAAUUCUUAAGGCAUGUUACUACUUUCAAAUGUUAUUUUAAUUGAUUAAAUGAGAGCUAGUGAGUGGUUACUACGGUUAAGUAUAAGCUCAAGAGUAAGGAUUGCUAAAAUCUAUAUAAGUAAUGAUUUUUAACAUGUCAUGUUUCAUUGGAAAUCCUUGAGGCAAUUGUUGGAAGGUUUAAGUUUUGUUUUGUUUUAUUUGUUUUGCUCGGGAAUAAGCAAAAGCUAAGUGUGGGGGAAUUUGAUAGGAGCAUAUUUAUGCGACUUUGUUAUCUUAUUUCUUUGCAUUUACUUAGUUAAUUUUCAUUUAUUUUGGUAUUAUUGUAGGUCCAGUUCGUAAAGAUGACAAUAAAUAGCUAAAUGGAGCAAUUUGGAGCAGUUUUGGACUUGGAUUGAAUAGCAUGCGUGUAUAGCAUAUGGGAUGGACGUUUUUGGUGUUUAAAUGGUGCUAAAUAUGUGCUAAAAUUUGGAGAAAUUAAAGUUGAGGCUUGGAAGGCAAAGAAUUACACAAGAAAGAGGAAUCCUAGUUGGAGAGGAACAUUACCUUAUCUUAUCUUAUCUAACAUUAUCUUAUCUUGUCUCCAGCUGCAAGGAGGAAUCCUAAUCACAUUCUAACACUUUCUAUCUAAUUUUUAGAGUCCUAAAAUAACUCAAAAAUACCAAAACCUUUUCCUCCUUGGAUUAAGCCAUUUUCGCCUAUAUAUAUGAAAUUCCUGCAGAGAUUUAGGGUGUGCCGUGCCUACCAUUCAUCCAUUGAAGUUGCUGGAAUUUUCUGAGUUCUUUCUUUCUUUGUUUUAAGUUUCAAUGUUUAUUUUAUAUUGGUUUUUAGUUAUGAUGAACAUGCGUAACUAAGUUUCUUUUUAGAUUGACCAUGAUCAUAUGUUUUAUAUAAAUUGAUUAGAUCCAGUUAUUGUUUCAUAAAACAUGAAUACGAUUUACUUAUCAGGUCUAUAAAGAACUUAUUCUUGUACACUUAGUUUGCAUGUAGGGAUUUGAUGCUAGAAUAUAAGGGAAUUUCACCUAAUCGUUAUGAACUUAUAUUUGCAAGUAGUAAAAAUCACUAGUCAUGAUUGAGUUAAGUAAAUUCCUGGCAGGAGUAUCAUGCUUUUCAUAGUUACAAAUGCUUUGUCAAUGCUUAUGAUUUUCAUAGAACUUAAUGAUCUUUGAGAUGCAUCUCUAUCAUGCUUUUCAUAGUUAUGGAACUUGAGAAGAAUAAUUUGGUUGCGUCGCUGAAUCCAAUUCAAUGAACUUAGGAAAAUCUGAGAAUUAAUUAGUGCUAUCCAUAGUUAAUUUGGAGCAUUGUCAUUCAUGGUUUAUAGGAAGAAUAACUGGAAAUUGAUUUGUAUGCAUAUGUUUCAUGUGUGGAGAAUAAUCCUUUAGCUAUCCUUUCAUCCAUAUUUCAUUCACAACUUAAUUUAUUUGCUGCACUUUAUUUUUGUUUUAAUUAAAUUCGUCCAAAAUCUCCCCCCUCAUUGUUUUAAUGUUAGUUUAAUUUAGUUUUCAGUUUUAUAAAUUUAGUUUGUGUUGAUUAGCAUCCCUUCUAAUUCCCGGAAUAGAAUGAUCCCUACUUACUUGUACUAUGAUUACAUAAUUUAUAGGGUUUAAUUUGUGUGUUAGUUUCUACCACAUCACUCCCAUAUGAAUGCUUAACAAAGAAACACUUAUCUUGUAUUUGAUAUCAUUGCAUGCCAUUAAUAUGUUUGUCCAAGAAUGAUGAUGCUUUGUUAUUCACUAAGAUCACAAUUUCAUUCACCCAUAUUUCAGACAUUUUAUCAAACAGUUGGAGGGCAUGUAUAAAGCCAACUCUAAUCUUCAAAAGGGCAGCACCCAAGGUAUCUAUGGACAUUCACCGAAAUUCGGAGGGUUAGUACCCAAGGUAUCCAUGGACGUUCACUGAAGUUCGGGGGAUUAGCUGACCCUCUACCCCUCAAUGCAUCUGCCAUUGAGUUUAGUAGAAUGCUUGUGUAUUUUAAAGUGUAUAUUCUUUUGGUAUUUGAAAUUGGGUACUAGGAGGAAUAUCCUGCAAAUAAAAAUUAACUGUGCACGUUAGACUAGUCAAAUAAUGAACUAGUCAACUAGUUACAAGUUAGUUAGUGAUACAAAGUGCAAUUGUAACAAUGAAACAUAACUGACAAAUAUGUUCAAUUAAUUAGAUUAUGCCCCGACUAGUUUCACAACAGUAAUUCCUAAGCUUGAACACAUUUACAUAUCGGUUCAUUAUGCAAACAAUGAUAACAAAGCAAUUAUGAAUUAAAGUAUGCUGGAUUGACUAGUCAAGCUCACCAGUUAACUAAGUACAUAUUCGUCAGUUAAUCAAACACAAAUCUACGAAUCAAACUUAGUUCACGAUGAGUUAUCUUAGUCAACAACAAAUCAGUUCAUUCCUCAUAAUAUGCAGUGUAAACUUAGUCUUUAACACAUAUCAGAUACUAAUUCAUAGGAUGCUUGAAACAUAUGCAAGUAAAUAAGAUAUGUGGACAAGCUUAAGAGACAAAGAACGCAAGAAGUUUUUGGUCGGAAAAACCCACCUCUGGGUUAAAAAACUGGGGACUCUCCACUGAGUCCAAUCCACUAGUGAAAUCAAGAUUCUUACAAAGUAACCACACAAGCUCAAUUCCUAGAUCCUUACCUAUGGAGCAGCUUGUACCUUUGUGCAACCUUGCCUUUCACGAGAUGGAUUAUUUCGGUAUUCAUGAAGUGGCAGCUUUUCCUGGGCUCUUCACCUUGUGGCACCGAAAUCAAAUCAACUUAUGCAAAUGAUGUUAUGAUGAAGUUGAUGCAAAUCUGAAUUCGAUGUCUAGUCAGUUUCACCAGUCAAACACUUGAAAGAUGAAACCGACACGAAUCCAAAAAGAGGUCAAUUUAAAGAUUUGAAACUUGAAAAACUUGACCACCAAAUUAAAACAAAACCAUGAAGAUAAUGCUACCCUAAUAUGUAGUGAUUGGAUAUUUUAUGCAUGAACAUGGUUUUGUGGCUAGGGUUUCAAUGAAGAAUACAAGAGGUAGCUCAAAGCUAAAAUCAACUCUUUUUUGAAAAUGUAAAACUCCUAGCAACAAAUGAGCAUAUAAAACGAAUUUAAGUAAGCAAUUUCAAAGAUAGGUUUAGAAAUAUCCAAUGAAGAACAAUACCCAUAAAAUAUGCUUGAUGCUCCUAGGAGAUCUACGAUAGAGAUGAAAAAUAAAGCUUUAAAAAAAAUUCCAAUCUCAAAUCCCAAAAACCAAAUGAACCCUAGAUUGGUCUUUAUAAAGAGGGCUGAGUUUCAAACAAGAAAGGGGACAAGAAAAGCCAUGUGUCUAGCUCGCGUGAAAGUAGUGAGAAGUUUUGACAAGAUAGAACCACUAGACAGAAUGUACUGGAAAUAAUGACAUGAAAUGCAUAUGAAUGAACAAACCUUUGAUGAGAGUAGUUAAGCUCUUGAGAUGAUAUUUCCAGGAGCAAUAUCCCAAAGUAGCAUUUAAACCCUAAAUCUAAGUAGAGCAUGUGUGGUACAAUUUACAACAUUUGACAAGGGAAGCCAAACAAUAAAACUAGACUUCACAAUCUCCCUCUUUGGCUUUCCUUGACAAAAUAACUCAAACUCUAUAACAAAAUUCACUCAACCUCACACAAGAGAACCCAAAGGACGAAUCCUGCAAAGAAGUAUUCUUGACAAGAACAAGUGAAAAGUUAUCACGGUUAAAGUAAUUGUAAGGAAGUAAAUUGCUUUGCAUUGAACAUGAUUGCAACACAACUCAAAUUUUCAAAUUUAAUUUUUCUCUCCUAUUUUGUCAUGGCAAAGACAAAGAUCUAAAAUGAAUGAUAUGCCAAUUCAAUUAAACAAAAUACAUGAUAUGUUUAUCAAGCUCAUGAAUGAAAUGUACAACCACAAACGAAAAGCCAAUAAGAACGAACAUUCAAAAUUAGGCACAAGGUUCACAUUAUAGCAUGGCAACACAAGAAAGACCAAUAAAUGAUUUUGCAGUAAUAGUAAGAAAUCCAAGGACACAAGUACAAUAAGAGCAAGAUAGUCAACGCAAACCAUAAAGGUACAAUUCUCAGUGCUAAGACAUUUAAAGCAAGUUGCUUGUCCAAAGAAAUUGUUAAAAAACAACCCACAACAAAGAAUUACACCAGGAGUAUCUUAAUCAAGGUACAUCAGAAGAGAGGUUAAAAAACAACGCCAAAAUAGGUCAAGUUUGCCUAAUAAAAUUUGAACUCCCCCAUAAUUUGUACUCUCCUAGACCCUAACUCCCCCAUAAACCUCAAAGUCUACAGACUAAGUGGCGACAUCAGAACGAAAAAAUUAAAAUUUUCAGCAAAUACAACAUGCAAGGAUAGCAAAAGCAUAGCAGAUAACGAAUAGUAAUAGAUCAUGUCAGUACACCUAAGCAAAGUGUAGCAAAAAUUAAGCACAAGUAAUUGAACCAACUCUGCCACAAAGGAUGUAUGUGAUAUAAAUGAACUCCCACAAAAAUGAUGCUCUUCAUACAAACAAACUCUCCUAGAAACCAAGAUCACGGCUUGAAACAUGCAGUAACAUAGAUACCCUUAAAAGAUUUCACCUUUCUGACGAGGGAUAGUGACUCAGCAGAAAGGGAAAAUGUCCAUUUACAACCAGAUUUGUGCAUAUGCCUGAAACAAUUUACUCAAACAUAUUUGUUUAAACACAUAAAAUGAUAGAGAACAUGAUGACAAUUGUAAUCAUUGCACCAAUAAACAAUAGUAAAACCACAAGCCAUGAAGGGAAUAAGAAAAAGUAGUUUGAGAACCUUUUGGAAAGUAUGGACCGAACAAUCAAAUAUCUAAAGGGCACAUCAGAGAGGGCAUAGCAUGCAAAACUUUUGGCAACAACAAGAAUGAAAUUUCCAUUGUUUAAGGUAUAACUUGGAGGCUUGACAUUUGGACAGAGGAACAGUGGGGUUCUGAUAGGCUUGACGGUGGUAGGCUUCUAUGUCAUAGCGACAAGUGAAUAACUCAGAAUGAUGCAUACUAGCAGCGAAUGUGAAAAUGAAUCCCUAGAGAUGUUAGAGAAGGUAAAUGCGUAGGAUACCAUGAAGAGAUCUGAACUGUAAGAAGGACAUGAAUGGUUGAGAUGAGGAGGUUAAAACAUAAAGUGCAAUGACAUACAUGCCCUUAAAAAUAUUCACUUUUAUGACAAGAACCAGUGACUCGUCAGAAGAGGAAACUGUCCAUUUUGAAAAUAGAUAGUGCAAAAUCUUACAAUAAUGAAAUCAACUAAUUUGGACACCACCAAAAACCAUGAGAGAAAACAGGAGAACACCAUGAUCUUAGCACCAAUAAGCCACAACUAACUAGACAAUCGACAAAGAAGAUGAGUGAAUGAACAACUCCAAUAUCUAUGCUUCCAUGAGAAGGAACCAAAAAAAGUAAUGACUUAAAAUUAAACAUGCAAUGCAAUUUUCAAAUAGCAAGUCUUUAAGAUCACACAUGGACAGUAAAACAUAGAUUAACACAAGCUCAUAGUGCAACUGUGAUGUGCCAAGGUAGGGUAAUAAGAUUGGUGAUAGCCAUCUUUAAAUCAAAACUCCAAACCACUAAACUCAAUAUUAAUUCAGAGGCUAACCAAACUUUUAAUAAUCUAUUGAGUUUAAGAAACAACACUUACAACAUAAAUCGAACAAGGAGCAAAACACAAAACUAAGCACAAGGAAAAAAGCCAAAGCCAUAUGAAACUUUAAGAUGGCAUAUGGCAAUAAGGUACACAAGUCAUUUGAUAUGAUUGAUGCAAAAAAUAUUUGAGGCACCCCAAGAACCUUUUGGGCUUUUAAGACAAGUGGAAAUAUUUGAUGACCUAUGACAUUGCAAUGGAUAACACUUUUGAAGGAAUGAGAGAUUGAGAUUCACCUUCUUGAAAUUUUUGAAAAAAGUGCUCAUAACUGAUGAUUUUGAGGUUCAUAUUUAUGAUUUUAUUUUAAGGAGCACUGAGCAAGAACCUAAGAGAUAAACUAGUGGUGUUUUGCACUGGAAUUGAUACUAAGUUCAAUUUAUAGAGUAAGUAAUGCCACUACACCUCAAUUAAAACCAAAGUAAGCCUAACCUCUAAAUCAACACAAGUUUUUGUUAAAUGAAACGAUGAUUCUUCAGAGGUUAUUAGCCACACUAGGGGGAACCUUUGACAUCAUAGUGGAAAUAUUAUCCAAGGUUGUUGGAGCAUUUAUGUUUUUAUUUAAAUAUUCAUAUACAUUUUGUUAAAAAUAUUAAGUAUAUAAUUGUUAAUUGUUAUUAACCUUAUCAGUUAAUAAGGAGUAAUUGGUACCACAUAAAUAUGUUUUCAGAUUCCUUCUAUGUAUAGAGAAGAAGAACAAGUCUUUAUCCAUAAUCCUUCCAUAAUCAUUCCGUAUUUAUUUAUUUUUUCCGUUUUGGAUCUCGUCCAUUUUAAUUUUUCUUUAUGAUUUCCAACUGUUCAAGAACACUAGUGAUAAUGUUAAACAAUCUGAGUAUGCAAGUAUUAUUGGUAGCCUUCAUUAUGCUACUGAUUGCACUAGGCUUGAUAUAUCUUAUGUCGUAGGAGUUUUAUGUAGGUUUACUAGCAGACCUAGUUUGGACCAUUGGAAUGCUAUAGAGAGGCCUAUGUGAUACCUUAAAAGGAAGAUGAAUUUCAAAUUACACUAUGAGAAGUUUCCCGCUGUCCUAGAAGUUUACAACGACAUUGAUUGGAAUACCCUUUCAGAUGACUCUAAAGCCACUAGUGGAUAUAUUUUUAGUAUUGGUGGUGGGGCUGUGUCAUGGAAGUCUAAGAAACAGACUAUCUUGGCUCAGUCUACUAUGGAGUCAGAAUUAAUAACGCUAGCUACGGUAAGAGAAAAAGCAGGAUGGUUGAGAAACCUAUUGUCAGAUACCCCUUUAUGGGAGAAACCGAUUCCAACAGUUUUGAUCCAUUGCGAUAGCACAACGGCGAUAGCUAAAGUGCAGAACUGUUAUUAUAACGGGAAAAUGCGACAAAUACGUCGUAAGCACUGCACUGUAAGAGAUUAUCUCACUAAUGGAGCUGUAAGAGUGGAUCAUAUACGCUCUGAAGAAAACUUGGUUGAUCAUUUGACGAAAGGACUAGCACAAGAAAAGGUUUGGAAAACCUCGGAAAUGAUGACACUAUAGCCCUUAGAAAUUUGAGUCAUUUGUGAUAGCAACCCAACUUAUAGACUGGAGAUCCCAAGAAAUAGGUUUAAAGGGUAAUAACAAGUUACAAGUGAUAUGAGUGAAGUCUUGUUAAUUUUAAUUUGGAAUAUUAUUCCAUGUCCAUCCCUUAAGAAGCAUGACAUCCUGAAGCGUUUUUAGGUUGAGAUUUUUUUUUCUCUUAGUAAGGUCUAUACUCUAUGUUGAGUGGGAUAUUUAGCUGCAUGAAUAUCCUUGAUAGUCUCACCUAUGUGAAUGUGGAAGUGAGGCCACUUCCUAUGAAAUUUUUGUUGGAAAUGUGCCCUAAAGCCAAUCAUAUGAUGAUACUUUACGGACGUUUCACAUGUUAAACUAAUCUAGUUUAAUAUAAAGGGAAAAUAUUAUUGUUUGAAGCUGUCUCAUAUAAAUGUUAUAUGCUUAUACGAUAAGUCCAAGGAAUAUGUAAUUGGGAGAAUGUGAUCUAAAGAAGUUAGAUUCAUGAGACCAUUCUCUUUCAUAUACAUAUCAUAAACGUUCAUGAUCAUAUCAUUGCCAAUUGGGCAUUAAUAAUCCUAUAAGAUCAGUACGUGAUAUGUCUUCUCUUAGGGAGAGUGAUUGGUCUCGAGUCAUUGGUGUGACUGACACCAAGACAAGCAUGUAGGUGCUCAAUAGAGAAUGAGUCCACUGAACACGAUCAACAAGGAGUUCUCAAUAGAGAAUGCCUCAUGAUCCAUGAUUAGAUUCCACCCAAUACCAGUAAAUCCUAGAGAUCACUUUAAGUAUAUCAAGAGCAUGGCUCUGAUACCAAUUGAAAUUGGGUACUAGGAAGAAUAUCCUACAAAAAAAAAAAAAACUUUGCACAGUAAACUAGUCAAAUGAAGUAGUUAACUAGUUACAAGUUAGUCAGUGAUAUAAAGUGCAAUUGUAAGAACGAAACAUAACUGACCAAUACGUUCAACUAAUCAACGUCUGCCCAUAUUAGUUUCACAACAAUAAUUCCUAAGCUUGAGCACAUUUACAUAUCGGUUAAUUAUACAAAUAGCAAUAACAAAGCAAUUAUGAAUUAAAGUAUGCUGGAUUGAUUUGUCAAGCUCACCAGUUAACUAAUUACAGAUUCAUCAAUUAAUCAAACGCAAAUCUAUGAAUCAAACUUAGUUCACUAUAAGUUAUCUUAGUCAACAACAAAUCAAUUCAUUGCUUAUAAUAUGCAGUGGAAACUUAGUUUCUAACACAUAUCAAAUAAUAAUUCAUAGGAUGCAUGAAACAUAUGCAAGUAAAUAAGAUAUGUGGACAAACUUAAGAGAUAAAGAACGUAAGAAGUUUUUGGCCGGAAAAACCCACCUCUGGGUUAAAAAACCGAGAACUCUCCACUGAGUGCAAUCCACGAGUGAAAUCAAGAUUCUUACAAAGUAACCACACAACCCCAAUUCCUAGAUCCUAAUCUACGGAGUAGCUUGUACCUUUGUGCACCUUGCCUUUCACGAGAUGGAUUCCUCAGGUCUUUAUGAAGUGGCAGCUCCUCCUGAGCUCUUUACCUUGUGGCACUGAAAUCAAAUCAACUAUUCAAAUGAUGUUAUAAUGAAGUUGAUGCAAAUCUAGAUUCGAUGUCUCGUUAGUUUCACCAGUCAAACACUUGAAAAAUGAAACCGACGCGAAUCCAAAAAGAGGUCAGUUUAAAGAUUUGAAACUUGAAAAACUUGACCACCAAAUUAAAACAAAACCACGAAGACAAUGCUACCCUAAUAUGUAGUGAUUGGGUGUUUGAUACAUGAACAUGAUUUUAUGGCUAAGGUUUCAAUGAAGAACACAAGAGGUAGCUCAAGGCUAAAAUCAAUUAUUUUAUGAAAAUGUAACUUCUAGCCAAAACAAAUAAGCAUAUAAAAUGAAUUUAAGCAAGCAAUUUCAAAGGUAGGUUUAGAAAUAUCCAAUGAAGAACAUUAACCAUAAAAUAUGCUUGAUGCUCCUAGGAGAUCUGAGAUGGAGAUGAAAAAUAAAGUUUUCAAAAAAUUUCCAAUCUUAAACCCUAAAAACCAAAUGAACCCUAGAUUGGUCUUUAUAAAGAGGGUUGAGUUUCAGACAAGAAAGGGGACAAGAAAAACCACGUGUCAUGUGCAAGAGCAAUAUGGAAAGAUCUAGGGUUGAAAAUCUAUUUCUGGGAAAAAGUUAUCAGAUGAUCCAUGUGGGUUGUCUUAAAGUGUGUGCCUAGCUCGCGUGAAAGCAACGAGAAGUUUUGAUGAGACAGAACCACUAGACAUAAUGUACUGGAAAUAAUGGCAUGAAAUGCAUAUGAAUGAACAAACCUUUGAUGAGAGAAGUUAAGCUCUUGAGAUGAUACUUCCAGCAACAAGAUUCCAAAGUAGCAUUUAAACCCUAAAUCUAACUAGAGCAUGUGUGGUACAAUUUAUAACAUUUGACAAGGAAGCCAAGCAAUAAAACUAGACUUCACAUUAUUUCUCUAAUCUUUGCAAGAAUACAAAAAAGACUAUUGUCAUUCAUCCCGAUCACUGUAGUACUUUUCAAAAUCAAGUCUAAUUAUUUCAAACUUGUUAAUGGUGACCAACCGUACAUAGGCUUACUAUCAUCAGGAGAAGACAUGCAAACUUAUUCAUUAGGCGGAGUCUUCGACAAUACGCUAAAAUUGACAUAUAAGUGAUUGUUCUCUUUUUUACUUCAACUAGGUUUUUAUCCCACUGGGGAUUUCCUCACAAGGUUUAAGUGAGGUAACAUUAUGCUUGUCCAACACCUUAUCAAUGUCGUCUAAAUUUUGCUCGGUUUUUGUCCUUCGUUUUGGUUUUGUCCCACUGGGUUUCCCAAGCAAGGUUUUAUCGAGACAACUACCAUUGAUUGGUGAACAAGUGUUAUAAAUAAUAUUUAUUAUGUGGUUGUUCACAUUCUGGGUCAAUAUGUAAUAUCUCAACAGUUGAGCUCUUUUCUAUGUAAAUACUAUGCCCUCUUACGAGAAGGAACACACUUUGAUUUCUCCUUCCCAAUCUCUUAAAAUUUAUCUUUAUAUAUAUAAUUUAACGUACAGGUAAAAAGAGCAUAAUUGGAGUUCUCUCAUUGUUUUUCAUUUGUCGAUCUCUACUUAUGAUUUGAUGGGCCAUUCAUAGAAUUGUUUUUAUAUGCCUGCAUCAAUAAGAUUUUCACAUUUUUUGUAUGAAUUAUGUUUCUUAUACAAAUAGAUAUCCCCAUGUUCACAGUCAUUGUGAUUUAGGGUUAGUUUGGGAUUGCAGUGCUUUUUUUUAAACUGCUUCAACUGUGCUUUAAGAAUAAUUAGCUGUAAAAUUAUAGUAGUUAAGUGUUUGAUAAUUUGUAUUUUUUAUUUUAAAAGUAUUGUGAGUAUGAAAAGCAGUGUAAAAGUAUUUGGUAAAUUAAAAAAAAUAUAUAAUUGUGUUAUAAACUUCUUAUUUAAGUGUGAUUAUGUAAAUCCUAGAUUAGAUUUGAUUCUAGUUAUUCUUCCCUAUUAGGACUUGUAUUCCUUGGAGGAGAAGGAUUUCUUCCUUCACUUAGUACUAUAAAUAAAGACACUACGUAGGGGAAUAACACAUCCUCUACACAACCCUACAAACACAUCUCUCUCUCUCUCUCUAUAUAUUUUCUCUGUGCAGUCGGCCUUAUCUCCUUGUCAGUUAAAUAUAGGCCACAACACGUUAUCAGCACGCUCCUACCGCUGCGCUUAGGAAUAUCACGUAGAUUUUUUUUUGUAUCAAACCAGUUUAUCAAUAUCAUCAUGCAAUCAGGUUCUUUCAAAACAACAGUUUUUAUCUCGAUAUUUUUUCAGCCCUGAAAGCAUGAACAUUCACCAUAAGGCAUGAACCAACUUUAUGUUUUCCAAAUUUUAGAUUGAACAUAAAUUGUGUAUGCAUUAUAUUCAUAAUUGUUGAAUUAUGUGAAUUGAUAUUGCCAUGAAUUGCAUCAUAUAUCUGCUCAUGCAUUAAAUUAUAUAUUGAAUAUGCAUGAAAUUGAAUUAAAUUUAUAAUCUGGAAUUAAGAAAAACAAAAUAAAAAAUUAGGGUUUCUCAUGAAACCCAUCCCAUCACCACCUUACCGCGAGCUGCUGGCUUCUAAGCCACACCGCAUUAAGCCAUCAGCACUAUGCUUGCAGUUUGAAACCCAGAAAAACCCGACCAUUUCCAUGGCAUCUCCACUAUCAUAGGUGGGCCUGCAACCCAACCUUGACCAAGGGUGGCCUAAAGCUUGUCCAUCGACGUAGAUUGACCAAGAUUCCUUUGAAUCUCGUCGGAUUUUUUGAAAUUCCGAUUUGAAAUUCUAGGGUUUUUGGUUGAAAUGUUGAGAUUUUUUUGUCUCUAUUCAUAUUCGUGAUCCCGUUGACCCACAAAUUUGCCCAGAGAAUUUUUGUCCCAAAACACAACCGCCUGAAGUUACGAUGGCGAUCUUCUUUCUCGGUGAGCGCACCCAGCUACGGCUGGGGUGUUUUUUGGUUCAAACCCAACCCAAUUAGGACUUGGUUACUCUCGACCCAAAAUUAAAACCUAUUUUUGGUUUUAGGGCUUGAACAUUAAAGCCCACACUCAGCCCAAUAUGACACCAGCCUGUAGGGCUAUGAUGUCCCCAUGCUUGAAACUGCACUUGAUUCCAGCUCGUAGCUGGUGACUCGAUGCAUCUGCACCGUUACACACUCGAUCACAGCUCUGCAUAGCUAUGGUGGUCCUAUGUACCGUGACCCACAUGAUUACGUCCCCCCCCGAGUACAUGUGCUCUGCAAAGCACCAGAUCAGCGCCCUAUCUGGGCCUAUGUUUUUUGGCCCAACUUCUUUCUUUUCUUGCAGCCCAUUUGCUGCCAUUGGGCUUGCAACCCCUUAGCCUGAUCAGCCCAUUCCAACCCAUUUUUCUGGGCCUGGGCUGCACGGUCUUAGUUUACUUAGCCCAAUUGUGGGUUUUUAGCCCAUGUUUUAGGCCCCAGCUCAAUUGUUUAUUUCUUUUAGACAAUUUGGGUUUUAUAAUUUUUCACCCACACUUUCAUUUUGGCCCGAAGUCCAAAUAAUUAAUUUAAUUACUAUAAUAGACCCUGAAGAUCUAUUUGCAUAUUUUCUUAUUGCACAUUUCUGUAUAAAUAUCUGUGUUUGUUCGUAGGAACAUAUGAACUGUAAGUUCAUAAUUAUUUCGAAACCUAAAGUUUCUAGAAACAUGCCUUGUUUGAAAACCUGAAGUUUUCCUUAAAAACAUCACCCAUGAAAACCGGAAGCUUUUCAUGUAAAUUUAAACCAAUACAUGUCUAUUAGAACCUGAAUGUUCUACUCCUAUAUGAAUGGAUUGAUUUUUUCUCCAUUACACUAACCACAUUCUUGUCCAUUUAUUUUGUGAUAGAGACAUGUCGAAUUUGAACAAACUCGACUUCACAGCUUUAGAGGUAUCUAGAAGAAACUACAUUAAGUGGGUCCAAGAUGUGAAGCUCCACCUCAUCACAAAGAAUUUGUGUCCCACCAUUGAAGAUGAGACAAACAACCUGGUUAGCGAAGCUAAGAAAGCCACUGCCAUGAUCUUCAUUUGAAGACGAAGACAUAUUCAUGAUGCAUUGCAAACCGAGUACCUUGUUGAGGAAGAUCCAAGAGCACUUUAGGUCGCUUUGGCUGAUCGCUUUGGUCACCAAACUGACAUCUUCUUGCUUGAAGCAAAACAUGACUAGUAACAUAUGAGCUUCCAAGACUUUAAGUCUGUGAAUGAAUAUAAUUCUAAAGUUUGUUAAAUCCGAUCACUUCUCAAGUUCUGUAAUGAGAACUUGACCAAAGAGGAUCUUUUGGAGAAGACUUAUUCGACCUUAUCUGCCACUAAUAUUGUCCUACAUUAACAAUAUAGGGCUUAUAAGUUCACCAAGUUUUCGGAUUUGAUCUCUGUCUUACUUCUCGCUGAAAAGCAGAAUCAGCUGUUGAUGAAAAAUCAACAAGCUUGACUUACUAGGGGUGACUACUGUCCAUCAAGCACAUUAUAACACAAACCAACAUCCAAAAUGCCAACAUAGGCAUGGUAAGGGCGGCCAUAAGCUACCCUGUCAAGGUCAAUAAAGCCAAGGCCCAACUAAGGGAGGAAACCGAGCCCAAAAGUGCCACAACCUCUCUCCCAAGGCCCCCAAACUUCAAGAAUAAGGGCAAAGCACCUGAAACCAUGGAUGCAGAUAUGUGCUAUUGCUGUGGUUCAAAUGACCAUUGGUCCUAUGUUUGCUGAGCUCGUAAGAAGGUUGUAGCUAAAUAUCAUUCUUGUCGUACGAAGUUUAAAUCAAACUUUGUGCAAGUGGAUGCAGGGGCGGAUGGACUAUAGGACCACAGUAGUCCUAGGCCCACCUUGCUUUUGUUUAUAAAAAAAAUUAGUACUACUUAUUAUUUUUAUUAUUUUUAUCACUUUUUCAUGACUUUCACUUAAAUCAUUCCAAUUUUCUAGACAACAUAUCCGGCCCUCUUUAAAUAUUUUAAGAAUAUUUAUGUAAUCUAGUCUAACCUUAAACCCUACCUAUUCCAACUUCCAACACUUUCAUUCCUUUUCCCAAUACUAAAAAUUAGUAUUUUUUUACUCUUUAAGUUUCUUUCUAGCCCUAGCCGACUACUGCUAGUCUGAAAAAAUAGUCAGAACAGUACAUCAGUCUAUUAUUUUCUAGACAACAUAGCCGACUGCUGCUUCUCUCAUCUAUAGCAUGUCACAAUCUUCAAUCAACCUAUCAUUCUAUUAUUCUUCAAUAAUUCAAUUUCCAUGAUCCUCAAAGGUAUAACUUCGAAUCUCCAAAGUUGUCAUUUUCAAUUAAUUCAUAUAUGUUGUUAUCUACCACAAUUGUAAAUUAAUUUAACAAAUAUUUUUUUUUUUGCAGAUUAAAGAAUUCCAUUAUUCCAUCAUUCCAUCAAAAAAAGACAUUGAAGUUUAGUUAAUUGGUCAACAACCCAAAGUAUGUAUUUUACUCUCAAUUCCUGUUACAAUUUUUUGUUUAUAAAUUAUGAUUAAAUUGAUGUCUUGCAAUUUCUCUUAACUAUCGCCUAAUUUGUUUUAGUUUGUAAAAUUAGCAUAUAUGUUCAUAUUUCUUUUAAUUUAAAGUUAGUCAAUCUAUGUUUUUUUACUUUUCAGUUAUGGAAAGAUAUUUCAAAAGAAAAACACAACCUGAGAUAUUAGAACCGUCUUCAAAGAGUCCAAAGAACAAUGAAAGUAGUUCAAAACAAACUUGUGUGGAUUCUAUGGAAAUUAACUCAGAAACUCUCCAAUAUGAUCCUGGAUUGCGUAGACCGAUUUUGAGUUAUCAUUCUAAUGUUCGAGACCAAGUUCGAAGACCUUAUCUCUAAAAUAAACCUUGUCAACCAAAAACCCAUACAUUUCCCUACACAAAUUUUGGGACAAAGCCUAGAAGGUUCAAUCCUGCUUGGUUUACUCAGUUCCUAAUUGGUUGGAGUAUAGCACAUCACAGGAUGCUGCCUAUUGUUUAUGUUGUUAUCUCUUCAAACCUGAUAUUGGAGAUCAAUGUGGUGGGGAUACUUUUGUUGGAGUCGGAUUCAAGAAUUGGAAGUGCAAGAAGAAACUAGAAAUUCAUGUUGGAGGACCUAAUAGUUCUCAUAAUAAUGCUUGGAGAAACUGUGAAGCCUUAUUAAACCAAAAGCAACAUAUUGAAACAGUUAUCUCAAAACAAACUGACCAAGAUCGAAUUAAUUAUCGAACUCGAUUAGGUGCAUCAGUUGGUGUUAGUAGAAUUCUCUUACAACAAGGUCUUCCAUUUUGUGGGCAUGAUGAAUCUGAAAAUUCACUCAACCAAGGAAACUUUCUUGAAAUUCUACGGUGGCUACGUCAUUAUAAUGAGGGUAUAAAGGCUGUCACGCUAGAAAAUGCUCCUGAAAAUUUGAAAUUGACAUCACCUGAUAUUCAGAAAGACAUCUCAAGUGCUAUUUCGUAUGAAAUCAUCAGUGCAAUCACUAGUGAUAUUAAUGAUUCUUUAUUUUCCAUUCUUGUUGAUGAAUCACGAGACAAGUCUUCAAAGGAGCAAAUGGCCAUUGUAUUGCGCUAUGUGGAUAAGGGUCAUGUGAUAGAGCGCUUUGUAGGUAUUGAGCAUGUUGCAGAUACUAAAGCUUCCUCACUCAAGUUAGCCAUUGAUGAUUUCUUUUCUAGACAUGGAUUGAGCAUAUCAAAAUUGCGUGGGCAAGGCUAUGAUGGGACAAGUAAUAUGCAAGGUGAGUUCAAUGGCCUUAAAGCACUAAUUUUAAAUGAGAAUGAGUCUGUCUUUUAUGUUCAUUGUUUUUCUCAUCAACUUCAAUUAGCUCUAGUAGCAGUGGCAAUAAAAAAUUCAGAAAUUGGAGAUCUCUUUACUAUGGUUUCUUCUGUGUUGAAUGUUGUGGUGGCAUCUUCUAAGCGUCGUGAUAUUCUUAGAGAGAAACAUGCUCAUGUAGUUUUGGAAGCACUAGAAAAUAACGAGCUUUCAAGUGGACAAGGUUUGAAUCAAGAAACUACUCCUAAGCAGGCUAGUGACACGCGAUGGAGCUCUCAUUAUAAUUGUUUAAUCAGCUUGGCUCACAUGUUCUCAUCAACGAUAGACGUGCUUGAGAUUAUAAGAAAAGAUGGAACAAGUUCUAAACAAAAAUUUGAAGCAAAGGUUCUAUUGACUUUUAUUCAAUCUUUCAACUUUAUUUUUGGUCUACACUUGAUGAAAAAGGUUUUGGGGAUCACAAACGAUUUAUCACAGGCAUUGCAAAAGAAGGAUCAAGAUAUUGUGAAUGCAAUGAACUUGGUCAAUAUAUGCAAAGGAAGAUUGCAAAGGAUGCGAGAAAGUGGUUGGGAAUCCUUAUUUGAUGAAGUUUCAUCCUUUUGUGACAAGAAUCGUAUUAAAAUUCCUAGCAUGGAUGAUAUUUUUACAAGUGGAGAGCGACCAAACCGAAAAGCUCAUCCCAUCACAAACGUGCACCAUUAUCGGGUUGAUUUAUUCACCGAUGUCAUAGAUAAACAACUCACUGAGUAAAAUGAUCGAUUUACUGAGAAGAAUACUGAACUACUUCUUUGUGUGGCAUGUUUAAGUCCAAGUAAUUCUUUCUCUGCCUUUGACAAAGAAAAAUUGAUGCGUCUUGCCCAAUUUUAUCCAAGUGAUUUUUCAGAGCACGAUCUUGAGUUACUCAAAGAACAGCUUGAGAAUUAUAUUUGGGACAUGACCUCUAAUAGUGAGUUUGCAGAUUUGAAAGGAAUUAGUGAUCUUGCACAAAAGAUGGUUGGAACCAAGAAAGAUCAUACUUACCCGUUAGUGUACUUGCUUUUGACACUUGCACUCAUCUUACCGGUUGCAACAACAAGUGUAGAGUGAGUCUUUUCUGCUAUGAACAUUGUUAAGAACACCUUACGCAAUCGAAUGAGUGAUUUGUGGAUGAACGAUUGUUUGGUUGCUUAUAUUGAAAAGGAUAUUUUUAAUAGUAUAGAGGAUGAGGCUAUCAUGCAAUGGUUUCAAAAUAUGAAAACUCGUCGAGCACAAUUAUUUUAAUUAUUGGGAAUAUGUAAUAUUAUCAAUGUUAUGUUGUUUUCAAUUUUGGUUACUUUUCAUAUAUAUACUAUGAUGUUUUGGUUAACAGUUUUGUAACUACUAUUGAUUUAUUUAUUUUUUAAUAUUUGUGAGGGGCCCCUCCUAACCCGAAAUCCUGGCUCCGCCACUGAGUGGAUGAACAAGAGAGUACCAAGAUAAAGGUUUCUAACUUUCAGUAGGUUACCACCCCUAUGGAGGAUUAUAAUCUUAUAUACAAACUAUUUUUUUUAGUUGAAUUUGCAACAAUGGGGCCGAAUUCCACAUAGUGGCCAAACCCCCCUAUUUAUUUUUUUUGUUUAAUUUUGCACAAUUUUCCUUUAUGUUUGGAUUAUUUGUUGAUGAUUUUUUUUUGGAUAUUAAGUUUUAAUUCAUUAUCAUCCUUGAAUACUUAAACUAUUUUGAUUGAUAUUUGUUUUUAGAACUUUUAUGCAUGUGACCGAUUCAAAUUAAUUUUAUUUCUAGGUAUGAUAAGUGGGAAAGUUUGUUGUCUGGCAAAUUGUGCAACCACACACACAAUUUUGCAUGAACGCAUCUAUUUCACUAACUUCAUACCUAAGAAUGCACCUCUAGCAACCCUCUCAGGACCAUUUAACUUGAUCAAAGGAUACGGUAAGGCACAUAUAAUGUUAUCCAAUGGUACAAUCUUGACCAUUGAUGAGGCAUUAUAUUCUCCACGUUCUGGAAGAACGUUAUUGAGUUUCAAGGACAUUAGAGAUAAUAAUUACCACGCUGAAACCUAUAUAGAAAACGGAGUUGAAUUUCUGUGCAUAACUUCUUAUGAAUAUGGCCAGAAGCGUAUUCUAGAAAAGAUGGAGCGUAACCUGAAUUGUCUGUAUACUACGACCUUACACCUUAUAGAAAGCCAUUAUGUGGCCGACCCUACCUCAGGGACCGUGCACAAAAUUACACUUUGGCAUGAUCGUUUGGGACACCCUGGACGAAUAGCAAUGUGCCGUAUCCUCAAAUCAUCACGUGGGCAUCCACUGACCUGAAGUUUAGGUUCGAUUCAAGGAAUUGCAUGCCAAACAUGCUCAAUGGGAAAGCUUAUUAUUAAGCCUUCUUAUGAAAAGAUUAACUUGAAUCCUCUUAAUUUUCUACAAAGGAUUCAGGGGGACAUUUGUGGACAGAUUCACCCUCCAUGCGGACCAUUUAGAUAUUUUAUGGUUUUGGUUGACGCCUCUACACGUUGGUCACACGUGUGCUUGUUGUCCACAAGGAACGCUGCAUUCUCCAAACCUUUGGCUUAGGUUAUCAAGCUCAGGGCUCACCACCUUGAUUAUCCGAUUAAAUCUAUUCGAUUGGAUAAUGCUCGAGAAUUCACAUCUAAAACUUUUGAUGACUAUUACAUGUCUGUUGGGGUUGAAGUUGAACAUCUAGUACCCCAUAUUCACACCCAUAACGGCUUUGCAGAGGCAUUCAUUAAGCGCUUACAAAUGAUUGCUCGAUCGUUGGUCAUACGUGCCAAGCUCCUGAUCGCUACUUGGGGCCAUGCAAUAUUACAUGCAGUUAUGUUGGUCUGCUUGAGGCCUGUUGUGACCAAACCAUAUAGCGUUUUCCAGUUGGUUACAGAAUACAAACCCAACAUAUCACAUCUGCACGUUUUUGGUUGUGUGGUCUAUAUGCCGAUUUCAUUGUCCUUACGUAAAAAAAUAGGGCCUCAACGAAGGAUGGGAAUCUAUAUUGGAUAUUAUUCUCCUUCGAUCAUUCAUUGCUUAGAACCUUUGACAGGCGAUCUAUUUACCACUCGUUUUGCAGAUUGUCACUUCUAUGAGAUAGUCUUCCAGUCAUUAGGAGGAGAUAAAAACGUCAACGUUCUUGAAGAACGACAUGAAUUAUUGUGGAUGACUCCUACAUUGUCUGAAACUGAAGUGAUCUUCAGAGUGUACCACAGAGCAUGCCAAAUGUUUUCACUGAUCUAGUGCGAGUGACAAGAUCACAUAUUCCAGCUGCGAAUGUGCUUGUAAAGAUGGAUGUAGCAAAUGUAAUACGGACUUUACUCCUAGAGGCCUGGGACGCCACUUUGGCUGAUCCACGUACAUUAAUAGCUAACCAAUCAUCUGUCCCUACACAAAAGCAUGGCAGACCUCUUAGUUCAAAGGAUUCACACCUCUGAAAGAGGAAACCCAUGACAUAGGCCCUUGAAGAGCCUACCAUGAAUCUGACUGUCGCCUACUCAUUCUAUCCAACCCAUGAGGAAAUUCUAGAUUAUGGAAGCAUCCUUGAAAAGACGAAUCCACCUCCCGAGAAUUGUGAGAUUUCGGUCCAUUAUGCUAGCUUGGAUGAUGUUUGGUGUAGAAAUGAGAUGAUCAUCGACGAUGCAUUAACAUAUGCAGUAGCUACUGAGAUCAUGUUGAUUGAUGACAUUGAACCCCAUUUAGUUGAUGAAUUUCGACGUAGAACUGAUUGGUCAAACUGGAAACAAGCAAUCCAAGUUAAACUCGAUUCACUUGCAAAACGUAAGGUGUUUGGACUGUAGCUCUUACUCCUCUACAUGUUUUGACCCUCAAAUUCUUGAGUCGGCCUUAUACUCUGGAGGAAACCAGGAAACCCUCCAGCCCAGUUCAAGAAUAAGCUUGUGGAAAGUUACUUCUUUAAAAGCAAAAGUAUCUCAUAUCAUCUGUUCUCCAUUUGCUUCUCCUUAUCCUUGUUUCUGUUUACGACAUAAGGAGAAGGAGAACAAUCAACCGGAAGCCGAAGUCGAACCUCCGAUCCAGGUUGCUUGCUUGGAAGUCUGAAUGCUUACCUUGUCUGUUACCUCUUUCGGCAAAUCUCCUAGCUCGGCGACUUGGGGGACUCCUAUUCUAGGGUUUUGUAUCGCACUUGACCAAGCCCGAAACUACAAGUAAGCUUCAAGUGAAAUUGAUACAUUACCUUGUGCAUCUUCAUCGGUUAAAGAUACCACCCCUGGAUGGAGGAAAAGUACUUCCAGAGAAGAUGCCACAUCUACGUAUGAGAUAGACAAGGUAAGUGAAAAUGAUACCACACUUCGGUACUUAGAAGUUUCGUGAUUACUCAAUGGCUUGGAUCUUGCAAGUCCCCAACCGAGGAGCUUCCCUCACUCGGGAACUUAGGGGAGCACUAUUUGUAUCAUACUUGACCAAUCCCGAAACUACUGAGUACCGGUCAACAUUACACCGUCAAGAACCCAUAAGAGUUUCCCUCCAACCAGAAGGUUAAUCACAGCACGACACGUGUCGACAUCAGAAGCCAAUCAUAGCGCGACACGUGUCAACAUCCGAAGCCAAUCACAACACGACACGUGUCAAUGUCAGAAUGAAACUAGAAACUCUUUUCUAUAAAUAGAGAUCAUUCUCUCACAAUAUUUCCUAAUUUCAUUUAUACUAAAUCAUUUACUUGUACUCACUAAAGGAGAGCUUGAACCUAUGUACUUGUGUAAACCCUUCACAAUUAAUGAGAACUCUUCUACUCCGUGGACAUAGCCAAUCUGGGUGAACCAUGUACAUCUUGUGUUCGCUUCCCUGUCUCUAUCCAUUUACUUACUUAUCCAUACUAGUGACUGGAGCAAUCUAGCGAAGGUCACAAACUUAACACUUUUUGUUGUACCAAAGUCCUUGCUGCUUUUGUGCAUCAACAUUUUAAAAAAAAAACCUAAAUCUUCUAAAUUUAUAAAAUAAAAAAAAUAAAAAAAAGCUGAAACUUAUCCCCCCCUCUUCUCCCCGCCACCCCCACCAUCUUCAUCUUCUUCCCUGCAACCCAGAGAAGAAAAAAAAGCCUUCAGUUUGUCUUCCCCACCUCUCCUCCUCCUCCUUAUGUCUUCUCCCCCAUCUUCAUCUUCUUCCCCUAACCCCAUACCUGCAACCCAGGAAAAAAAAAAAAAAAACCAGAUCCCGUCAUCGCCGGGUUCGUGAAGUGGGAGGAAUGGGUGUGGAUUUAAGAAGUAUGGGUGUAUAGAGGAGGGAAGAGGGUGGGUGCGGAGGGAGGGAUGUGGGUUUUGUUGGAAAUGUGCCCUAAAACCAAUCAUAUGAUGAUACUUUACGGACAUUUCACAUGUUAAACUAAUCUAGUUUAAUAUCAAGGGCAAAGAUUAUUGUUUGAGCCGUCUCAUAUAAAUGUUAUAUGCUUAAACGAUAAGUCCAAGGAAUAUGUGAUUGGGAGAAUGCGAUCUAAAGAAGUUAGAUUCAUGAGACCAUUCUUUCGUAGACACAUCCUAAACGUUCCUGAUCAUAGGAUUGCCAAUUGGGCAUUGACAGUCCGUUAAGAUCAGUAUAUGCUGUGUCUUCUCUCAGGGAGAGUGACUAGUCUCGAGUCAUUGGUGUGUGUGACAUCAAGACAAGUACGUAGGUGCUCAAUAGAGAAUGAGUUCAUUGAACACGAUCAACGAAGAGUUCUCAUAUUCAUGUCACAUGAGAACUCAUGGUUGGGAUAAUGCAAAGUAGUCCUUUGACCUGAGGCAUCACGUUUGUCUUGUGGUUAAGUUCUUGAUCUUUGAUUAUGUCAAAGUCACCCCAUUCGCGGGUGUCCGGCAUCGUUGGGGUUAAGCCACUUAGAUAUGGAGGUAAGUGAAUGCGCAACAAGGGAUCUCUAACCUUCAAACCGUUUGGGGGAGAAUACUCUAUGAUAUGAUUUAGAAUCUCUGGCCAGAGUAUGAAUGAGAUUUAGGAAAGUCGUUCCAAAUCACAUUCAAGGUAAUCAUAUAAGCGCACGAAUCACAUUGGAUAGUAGACAUGAAUAAACUAUCAAACCAAACAAUGUGGUCAAGAGUAUUGUUAGAGAAAGACCGUAUUGUAUUUGUAAUCCUAAACUGAAUAGGUUCUCUACCUCUUCUGAUUAGCCUGGGUAACCAUGAUAUGCUGCUAGGUGUCACUCAUGGUUUGUGGAAGCCCUAAACGUGUAUAAUCACUAAAGGGAGAAUUGAAAGUAAGUUUCAAUUCACAAACGAUUUGAAAGAGUUCUAAUCGCCCACUGCCUCGCUAAAAGGAACCUAAUGGAUCGUACACCGUGUAAGGUGGAGAUUGAAGAAACAAUGGAGAUGAGUAAGAAUAAUUAAAUGGUUUAAUUAUUUAUGGCAAGGAUUAAUUAAUAUGUUAAUUAAUCAAACGAAUAAGUUCGUUAAAGAACUCGGGAUAGUUUUGGACCUUAAGGCCCAAUGGGCUUCGAACGUCAAGCCCAUUGACUUAAGUUGUAUGACAAUUUAAUGAAUAAAGAUUCACAAAGGCCCAAAAGCCCAAAAGCCCAAAUCCCUUAUGUGGCCGGCCAUGUGUGUUGAAUUAGGGUUUUUGGUUCUUAAGUCAUUUAAAGAAGUGACUAUAUAAAGAACUUUAUAGCCUAAAAUUCAUUAUGGGUUUCUUUUAGAGAAAAUUGGUGAAAACUUGUCUCUCCUUUUCUCUCUAGGAGGCCGGCCCCCUUGGAGGGUGUAUCUAGCAAUCCCACUACUCCAAGGUCACUCAUUCCUUCUCCAAUCUCUCCUUGGUGUGGAGACUUAGAGGUUCUCAAUUUUGGGAACUUGGAGAAACCUAUUCUUCCAUCCAAAUCCUUAGAUUUUAGAUGCAAGGAAUGAAGGCCCUCUCCUUGGGUGAUUAGUCUUUGCUUAUGCAAAGAGGAAUCUACAAAGGUAUAUAUAUUUCUCAACUCACUUUGUUUUGAGUUGAUUCUUGGUUCACCAAUCUACUAGGCUUUGAAUUUCAUGGGUAAUGUUUUGUUUUUGAGUGCAUGCAAGCAUGAUUCCGCCUUUAAUUGUUAAUUGCAUGCUAUAUGAUGUUAUUCAAAUGAACAUGUUUUCACAAAAUCAUCCUUCAAGUGGUAUCAGAGCCUAGGUUUAGUAGUUGGUGAAUCCUUUUGGGUUUUGUAGUUCAUAGUUUGUGAUUUAAAAGUUGUAAUAUGUUACAAGCUUUAUUCUUGUUUCUUUGAAUGUAAAUUUUGUUAGAAAAUUUGCCAUCUCAAAUGUUGUAGAUGUAGUUCAUAUGAGCAUGAAUAUUAGAGCUAAAAUUUGGUGUCAUGAUUUUGGGGAAAUUCGGCCAAAUCCAAAGGGUGGAUUUUUGGGUUCUUGUUUGACUUGUUAAAAGUGUUUUAAAGUGACUUUUGGAACCCCUAUGUACCCUAGUUUGGUUAUAUGUUAUUUCCCUAAAGUUUGAAUGGUUUUGAGAUGUUUUUGGGUGAAAAAUGUUCAUGGAAAUUUUUGAGUUUUUUCAUGAGUGUUCUUCAUUGUUCUUGACAUUUUUGCCAAGAACAAAAAGUUUUGUGUUUUGAUUCAAAGUUUUGAUUUAUUUCAUAAAGUUUAUGUUUUAUGUUUUUCAAAUGUUUAAAUGUUUUAGAUAUUUGUUUAAAUGGUACUAGAAAUAAUGGUGGGUGUGAAAGGAUUAAUUCCCUUUCACACACACCACUUGUGCACUUGCAUGCUUUAUGUCAAAACUCACAAAUCAACACACACAUCACUCACAUCUCCUCUCCAAAACCGGCCACCCUACAUGUAGGGUACUUUUGGGGCUUUUAUGCAAUUACAUAAAGUUUUGAUACUUUUGUGUAUUUGCACUUUGGCCUAAAAGUUUACGUUUUUACGUUUAGGUCCAAAAACGCUAAAGGACAAAUUGUUUUGCUCCUUUAAUGAAGUUUUUGCAUUAUUAAAAUUUUGGGUUCUAGUUGUAAUUACAUGAAGUAGUGGACUUUUGUGUUUUUACAAAGUGACCCCAAAAGUUUUGCAAUAUAGCCCAAAAAUUGAGGUUAAUUGCUUUAUGGCCCAAAUAAGUUGUGGUUAUUGCAUAUUGGCCCAAAUUAGGUAGAGAACAAAAUUGUUUUGUCUCUUUAAAUGAGAAUUGGAUUUUCAUUUCAUUUAGCUCCAUUUAAAUCAAUUUUAUGGAUACAAAAACCAAAUGAAAAUGUUGCAUUCUAUUUAAUUAGUUAAAUUGUUAAUUAAUUAAAGGGUGAUUAUGAACCUAAGCCUAAUAUAAUUGAGCUAUGUGAAAGGCCGUUUCAAAUUUGUUUGAACCAUGGGAAUGUGUAGAUUAGAUUUUGGUUGUAAUUUGAUUUGAUCAAAUGUUGUAAAAGGGCAUAAGCCCUUCUUUACUUUAAAGGUAAUUUGUUUUAUGCAAAUGUUGUAAUGAGCAUAAGCUCACCUUUACUUUGAAGUACUUCUUUCUUGCUUUAUUUGAUAUGCAUGAAAAUGAAGUAGUUGGGUCCAACGCCCCUAAGACAACACGCCUUAAUGUGAUUAAACGCGUAACUAAAAUCAAUCACCAUCCCUAGACCGAGAUUCAACACAAGGCUCGUGUUGAAUCUAAACAAAGGUUCAUAGUCAUCCUAAGGCCCUAAGGAAACUAUAUAGUCCAUCAAAUGAAUGCAAAGUUUAUGUUAGUACUAUCAUAUACUCUUGCUUUAAAAACCGUUAUAAGCAUAGUGGGAGUAUUAUAUACAACUAAGAACAAUCAUAUGGACCAAUAGUUGUAAUAGGACCAAAAUUGUUUUAAUAGAGAUUAAAAUGUAUGUUUAUAUGUGAUGAGACCUAAAACCCUCAACCAAACCAUUAUUAAGUUGACAAGCAUGAGAGUGUUUUGAACACUCUUUCGUGGCCUUCCACCGUGGUAGGCUCCGAUCGUUUAUGACUUGUACACCGCCUUCACCCUAUCAUGGGGGAGUGCGAAGUGCAUGCUUAUACUCAGGAGGAGUCUAUAUACAUACUUGAUGAGGUGAGUGUAGGCAACGAGGAUGGCCAACAUCAUAUCAUUGUGAGGCUAUUCUUGAACCCCUUCACAAACUAAGCAUGGUGGGAAUGACUUAACUAAGUGCAAUGGAGCCAACAUCAUAUCAUUGUGAGGUGACAUUCUCUAGAGGCCAAAUAAGAUGGGUACUUGCAAGUGAUGCAAAUGAGUAAGCGUACUCUCUCAUUAUUAUUAAUGCUAGCCAACAUCAUAUCAUUGUGAGGUGGGCUUGGUAGUAGUGAGUCUCCCAUACCCUACUAAGAGUUUCAUUAAAACUCUCGAAUUCCAAUGAGGGAUAUGGAAUUUGCCAAAAAUAGUGGGUGGUGCUAUUUGAUUUAAAGACCCGAAUCAAAUGGCUUAAAAUCAAUCAAUUUAUAUUCGUUAUGUAUUUGUUUACCAAUAUAUUUGCAAACUCUAUCCAACACUUGACAAAGAAAAGCCGAAUGCUUUAUUUUCCGGACUUGGUACAACAAUCCCAAAGAUUGUCUUAAAUGGAUUGCAUAUGUACCUAAGUAGUCUCAUCCUCACAAUCUUCCUAUUGAUAAUGUACCAUUAGAAGAAAAUGUUAGAUAAGUCUAUCAUAAGGAGGACAACACUUUUAAUGUCAUAAUUCUUCACUUACAAAUCGUUGUAUGAAGAAAUAACAGUUGCUUUGAACAACCCUUAAUCAAUGCAAACAUUAGUGCUUGUUUCUUUGUUAACAUGAACAAAGGAACUUAAGAAGAAAGCACAAAGGCAUGGACACUUUAUGUGCCAUGAUUCUUCACUUACAAAUUGUUGUAUGAAGAAAUGAGAGUUGCCUUGAACAACUCUUGAAAGUUUGUAAUUAUGUUUAGAACAUAAUGGUUGGUUGACAAAAAAUAGUCCAUUAACAUGGACUUAUGAUGAUUUUGAAUCAUUGAGUGUUGAAGUGAUAAACCACUUAACGAGACGGAAACUAGGCAAGGACUUCACCUUUAUGUCCCUAUCCUAAUGGUUCACUAAGUUUAUUGUAAACUAUGUAGUGAACAAUAACCACAUACUCUCCAAAAUCGUUUGAUGUGUAUAACACAAUUGAAAUAAGUUUCAAGAGAGAUAGUGGGAGUUUAGGGACCAUGACUAUUGUAGUCAAAGGAGAAGUCAAAUGAAGAAGAUAAAAUUAACUCCAAGGGAACAAACUUUCUUUAUGAAAGGAUGGACAUUGGAAGGGGUAUUUGCAAGAAAUGUCUUGCAAGUGUCAAGAACACACCUUUCGAAGGUGUUGUAAAUUGUUCUUGAAUAGUUCAAAACAGUUGGUUCUUCUACUUGAAUGCUUGAUUCCGUAUUAGUAACUAUGUUUUACAAUCGUUGUAAAAGUGUGACUAAUAAGAAGUAGAAGAUAUAUGAGAGAAGAAAAGGUACUUCACAUUCGGAACGUGAAUAAAAUAUAGAUCUCUGCGAAAGCAGAUAUAGUACUUACUUCCUCAUAUGAACUACCAAAGAAAUUGGAAAAACCAAAGAUUGUCUUUACAUUCCAAUUUUAAGGAAUUUAAUUCCGUCACUAUAGUAGAGAUGGAUGAAUGUUUUGUUUGACAAAACAUUGUUCUUUAUUAAUCAAUGAUUGGAUUAUAGUAAUCUAAUUGAUUGUCUCUAUAGUAGAGAUGAUAUGGUAGUGUUAACUGUUUAGAAUAUAAUGAUGCUUAAAACCCAAAAGGUUGCAAGGUAGUGACUAAUCCCAACUAAAGUUGUGAUACCUCUAAAUCAUAAAUUACGAGUUGGUCAUAGAUGGAUGCUUUGGAUCGUUAGAUCCGGAUCCAAUACCUUCUUGUUAAAAUUGUAUAGAGGCGAAAUGUUCGAAUCUUUAUUCUUUUGGAAAGAAUAAAGAAUCACAAAGUUGUUGAGGUUAAUUCACUUAGAUGUUAGUGGCACUUGUCCACAACAUAAUACUACUCAUGUUGGAUGACAUUCACCGAAGAUCACUCUCGGUUGGACUAUAGUUUAUUUUGAAUAAACACAAGUCUGAAUACUUUGCAAAUUUUUUUCAAAGAAUUCAAGAAAUGUAAGUUGAUGAGUAAGACGUCUAAAGUAUUUACCUCCUUAGAUUUGAUCCAAGAUAAGGUAACACUUUAGAUAAGUCUCCUUGAAAGAUAUCAAGGAAAGAAGCAUCAUAAGAUAAUAAAUUUCUCCAUUAAGGAGAAGAACGAACUCGAAUAAGAUUUAGUUCGAUGUUAUCUAUUACCCAUAUAUAGGAUAUAUACUUCUAAAACAAUAUGAUUGUCAAUUAGAAGAUCUUCCAAAUUUUACAUGACUCCAUAAGAUGUAGUUGGAAAGAAAGACAAAUCUUAAGCAUGUUAAGAUUUGGGGUUGUGUGCUAAUAAGCAAUAUUUGUUUGAUAACAAUCUUGUGGGAUAUCCUUUAAAUUAACUUUUGGAUAUCGCUUCUAUAAACCAACUAACAAAUGUUGUUUUGUUGGGUAGUUCAUUGUAAUCCUACAAUGUGAUUUGCCUAAAAGCAAAUGAACGAGAGAUAGAACUCAAAGAAUGGGUUCUUUGAGAGACAAGAAAGUAAUCAACAAAUAUAAACAACCUAGUUCCUAUACCAAAAGCUCCAAGGUAGUCAAGAAGAAUUUAUAAACCGUCUCAGUUGAAUGGUUUGAACUUUAUGACUAUGUCAUAGAGUUGCACCUCUUAAUUCGAAAGAAAUAAGAAUGAAAAUCCUUAUGACUACAUUGAGUGUAUAUAUGAUAUAUACUCAAGAAAAUGGUAAAGUACCAUUUGACCCGAAAUAAUGAAACCUUCAUAAGCUAAUUGGUAGCUUAAGGUGACUACAAUCAAAGAGAAUGGUUGACUUUGAAGAAACCAUCUUUGACGUAGUCUUAGUUUCAAUUAAUUCGAAGAUUGCUAGCUACAACUAAAUGGUGAUUCAAUGUUUGGACAUAAUAUGGGUUUCCGAAACCAUUAUUAAGAUAGUCUUGAUAAUAUAUGUCUAAAACUAUGAAUCACAAGACAUGUAAGUUGUAGAGAUCCAUCCAUCAUGGAAUCUUAAGCAAGCUAGUGGGAGCUAUGAGCAUCUUAUGAGAAAAGGAUCAAAUCGUUUGAUUUCUCAUAAAGAUGUAAAUGAAUCUUUUGUUUACUAGGUUUACAAAAGAUUAGUGGGAGUUAAUCAUAUUCCUAAAAUUUAAAAUAUAUAUUUGAUAUAUUAAUUUUUGGAAAUGAAAAGAAUACUUCUUCGUUAAAGUUAUGACUUUAAAACAUUAUAUGAAGAUAGAAUGUAUAUGGGAGACAUAGUCUAUAUACAUGGGAUGGAAAUCUAUAUUGAUAGAUUUUAGGAUAUAAUUGGAUUAUAUCAAUCCCUAUAUAUAGACAAAAGAUGCUAGGAAGUUUCUCAUAUGAUGAUAAACUUCAAAUCAAAAGGACAACUCUAGUGAGACUAAGAAGUUGCUCUUCUCAAAGGAGAACGUACUCUUUGACUCCCAAAGAAAUAAUGCGUAAAUAGAAUCCUUUAUGCAUACGCAGAAAGGUGAUUUAUGUAUUUCAUAUUGUAUGAAAAACAUUGAUAUGAGUUGUACCUAGAACGGUACAAGACGAUAUCAGUACAAGCCCAGGAUCAGAACCAUGGCAACUGUCAAGUGAGUCCUUAAGUAUUUAAGAAAUACUAAAGGAUAAAUUCCUCAAAGAAUGAGGAAGAAUUAGAGUAACGUAAAUGGAAGCGUAAAUGUAUUAGAUUAUGAAUCUAAUCCAUCAUUGGAUGUUUCUUCAUUAUGAAUGAAGAGAUAAAUCAGAUAUCUCUUUAUUAUGACUAAAGAGAUAUUUGGAUGGAAACAUUAAAAGUAAUGACUUUAGUGUGUUCCAUUAUGAAUGCAAAAUAUAUUGCCAUAUAGAAGCUUACAACAAUUUUGUUUGGAUGGGAAAGUUCAUUUAUGAACUCUCUAUUCGGUUCCAACCAGAAAGUGUAUCUAGUGUACUGACACUAUGACACUAAUGGGGCGAUAGCUCAAGCCAGGGAAUCAAGGUCUCAUCAAGGUCCGAACUCAAAUGAGAGAUUGAACCACAUGAUUGAGAAUCAUGUAUAAUGGUGACGUCGUUAUUCUCAAGGUUGCUUCUAUGGAUAACAUAUAGAUAUCCAUUGUCUAGGCCUACUAUUCAGCCAUUUAUGAAAUGACUACAGAAGAGGUAUCAUCACUGAUGACAAAGCUGAUUGGUUCUAGUGCAAGUGGGAGAUUGUUGGAAAUGUUCCCUAAAACCAAUCAUAUGAUGAUACUUUACGGACAUUUCACAUGUUAAACUAAUCUAGUUUAAUAUCAAGGGCAAAGAUUAUUGUUUGAGCCGUCUCAUAUAUAAAUGUUAUAUGCUUAAACGAUAAAGUCCAAGGAAUAUGUGAUUGGGAGAAUGCGUAAUCUAAAAAGAAGUUAGAUUCAUGAGACCAUUCUUUCGUAGACACAUCCUAAACGUUCCUGAUCAUAGGAUUGCCAAUUGGGCAUUGACAGUCCGUUAAGAUCAGUACGUGCUGUGUCUUCUCUCAGGGAGAGUGACUAGUCUCGAGUCAUUGGUGUGUGUGACAUCAAGACAAGUACGUAGGUGCUCAAUAGAGAAUGAGUUCACUGAACACGAUCAACGAAGAGUUCUCAUAUUCAUGUCACAUGAGAACUCAUGGUUGGGAUAAUGCAAAGUAGUCCUUUGACCUGAGGCAUCAUGUUUGUCUUGUGGUUAAGUCCUUGGUCUUUGAUUAUGUCAAAGUCACCCCAUCCGCAGGUGUCCACGGCAUCGUUGGGGUUAAGCCACUUAGCUAUGGAGGCAAGUGAAUGCGCAACAAGGGAUCUCUAACUUUCAAACCGUUUGAGGGAGAAUACUCUCUAUGAUAUGAUUUAGAAUCUCUGGCCAGAGUAUGAAUGAGAUUUAGGAAAGUCGUUCCAAAUCACAUUCAAGGUAAUCAUAUAAGCGCACGAAUCACAUUGGAUAGUAGACAUGAAUAAACUAUCAAACCAAACAAUGUGGUCAAGAGUAUUGUAUUAGAGAAAGACCGUAUUGCAUUUGUAAUCCUAAACUGAAUAGGUUCUCUACCUCUUCUGAUUUGCUUGGGUAACCAUGAUAUGCUGCUAGGUGUCACUCAUGGUUUGUGGAAGCCCUAAACGUGUAUACUCACUAAAGGGAGAAUUGAAAGUAAGUUUCAAUUCACAAUCGAUUUGAAAGAGUUUUAAUCGCCCACUGCCUCGCUAAAAGGAACCUAAUGGAUCGUACACCGUGUAAGGUGGAGAUUGAAGAAACAAUGGAGAUGAGUAAGUAUAAUUAAAUGGUUUAAUUAUUUAUGGCAAGGAUUAAUUAAUAUGUUAAUUAAUCAAACGAAUAAGUUCGUUAAAGACCUCGGGAUAGUUUUGGACCUUAAGGCCCAAUGGGCUUCGAACGUCAAGCCCAUUGACUUAAGUUGUAUGACAAUUUAAUGAAUAAAGAUUCACAAAGGUCCAAAAGCCCAAAUCCCUUAUGUGGCCGGCUAUGUGUGUUGAAUUAGGGUUUUUGGUUCUUAAGUCAUUUAAAGAAGCGACUAUAUAAAGAACUUUAUAGCCUAAAAUUCAUUAUGGGUUUCGUUUAGAGAAAAUUGGUGAGAACUUGUCUCUCCUUUUCUCUCUAGGAGGCCGGCCCCCUUGGAGGGUGUAUCUAGCAAUCCCACUACUCCAAGGUCACUCAUUCCUUCUCCAAUCUCUCCUUGGUGUGGAGACUUAGAGGUUCUCAAUUUUGGGAACUUGGAAAAACCUAUUCUUCCAUCCAAAUCCAUAGAUUUUAGAUGCAAGGAAUGAAGGCUCUCUUUGGGUGAUUAACCUUUGCUUAUGCAAAGAGGAAUCUACAAAGGUAUAUAUAUUUCUCAACUCACUUUGUUUUGAGUUGAUUCUUGGUUCACCGAUCUACUAGGCUUUGAAUUUCAUGGGUAAUGUUUUGUUUUUGAGUGCAUGCAAGCAUGAUUCCGCCUUUAAUUGUUAAUUGCAUGCUAUAUGAUGUUAUUCAAAUGAACAUGUUUUCACAAAAUCAUCCUUCAGGUUUAUGGGUAAGGUGGGUCGUCGCGAGGGCAGGGGCUUUCAGGGUCCCCGGGGGGGUCUUCCUGGGUGAGGAGGGUCGCGCGGAGGGAGAGGGUUACUGGGUGAGGUGAGUCACGAACGAAAGUAGAAGCUAGAAAGGAAGCAACAGCAGGAAAGGAAAUGAGGGUGGAGGACUUUUGCCUUGCUUGCCAUAGACACUUAGACAACAAGUAUUUGAUUAGGAUGAAUGAUGAAAAAGAUGGAAUUGAAAAAAGUGUAAGUAUGUGUGUCUGAAGACUGAGAGAGAGCAUAGGCAUGUAAUAAUGUGGUUUGGAGGAAGAGGAGGAAAUGUGUUUGAAACUCUUUUUGGGUUGGGGGGGGGGGUUCACGAGGGUGGGGUUUUUGUUCAACUUUUGGAUUUUUUUUUUUUUUUUUUUAGUUUAGAAGAUUUAGGUUUUAAAAAAAACUUAUUAUUUUUGCCACGUGCAUUAAAUGUGGCAGCCACGUCAGCGCUUAAAAGAUUAAUGGAUGAAAAAUGUAAUGGUUGUAUUAUUCGGAAAUAAAAUAGUACGUGAGGUAUGAAAGUGAAAUGUUUUAAAGAUGUUGUAUGAGAUUGUAAUAGACCUUAAACCUGAGGGGCUACUAUGUAAUUUACCCUAAAAAAACAAAACUCUUUCCUCACCCACACUCUCUCUCUCUCCUCUCACUUGUCUCCCUCACUCACUCACUCUCUUUCCUCUCACUUGUAGAGAAACAAUGGUAGCCAUGCUAGCAUGGCCACUUUUCUCCAAAUCCUACCAAAGCUUGUGCGGAUCUAAUGUCGAUGCCACCGAUUCCUCCAGUGACGAAAGAGAUCAACCUUGAGGUCUCUUCGUCUUCAUUUGCUUCAUCUUCUCCUCCUUGUUUUGGUCAUCCUAAGUUGUGCCAAAUCUGCAACACUAACUGAAGUUGCAGAUCUGAGCCCGUAAAAGGUACAUCAAAUAAGGCGACCUAGCCCAUAUAUGAGGCAUUUAUUUGCAACACCAACGAGAGUUUGUUGAGGUUCCCUCCUCGCCAUCAACAAUGGUGUAUCAGCCGAUGUGGAGGAACUCGACAAGGCAGCCAGAAUAGGAGGCCCAGUGGCAGCGGAGGGAGCAUUGAGGUUGAGGGAGAUGUCGCUGGGGAUCGAUGCAGGAAGUUUCGUGUGUUUAAGAGGAUGAGGAAGAAAUGGGACAGAGGAAAUAGUGAGGGGAGGAAGAAGGGUGACGAAUGGGGGAAUGAGUGGAGGAAGAAGAGGAUAAGAGGUGAGGGUGAGAUCGAGUAAAGAGAGUUAAGGGAGACAAGUGAGAGGAGAUAGAGUGAGAGGGUGAGAAAAAGAGUUAUUUUUUUUAAAUUUAAUUGUAAUAAAAAAAUAAAUAAUUAAUAAUAAUUAAUUAGUUUUUUAUUUUAGUUGGGGAAUAAGUGGGCCCCUCUAUGGCUACGUCAUUAUUUAACAACCAAAUUGACAGAAAACUUAACGGAGAUUUGACAUUGCAACAAAUUCAUAAGUUGAUGUAUGACAUUGCAAUGUUUAAAACAUAAGGUAUGAGAUUGUAAUUCGACCCAUAGUUGAGGUAGUUUUGGGUAAUUUACCCUAACAAAAAUGAACAUUGUAGGGGGUUUGAGACGACUGUGGUUGCGAUGCCAAUAAUAAUGUGCAGUAGUUGGGGUGUAGAGGUAGCAGUGAACCAGUGGUGGUAGAGGAAGUGGCAAUGAUUGUGGUAGUGGUGGUGUCAUUGGUGGUGGAAAUGGAAACGAUGGUGGUGGUCGCAAUUGUAGGUAGUGGCGGCGAUGGUGGUAGAAUUUGCAAUGAGAGAUUGUAUCCAGGACCUCAUAAUUAAAAGGAAGUUGUUGCUAGAAAAACCCCAACCUAAUAUGAUGAUUGACACAUAUCCAUUCCCAGAAGUCCCAAUCAACAUGAUCAACCUUAACUAGGUUGAAAAAGGAAAAACAAAGGCUACCUAGGAAGUAAGGGGAGAGAGAGGGCAAGCUGCCAGCCCCAUGGAAAACGUUAGAACAUUGCCGACAGACCUCAAGCGUUUGUAGUCAAAUGAGUGGUUUGAUGCAGCAAGUGUCAAUGUGAGUGUGAGCUCGAGGUGCUAGCAUCGGGCACCAUUAUUGACCGAGAGCUAGCUAGAAGAAGAGAAACUUCCAAGAAUGUGUUCCAAAGAUUAAGAGGAGACUCAGAGCCCAAGGGUUUGUAUGAAGUAUUUAGAAAUUAUGAAGCCUCUGAAGAGAUGAAGGAUAAAGAGGCGAAGAUGUUGGAAAUGUUCUCUAAAUCCAAUCAUAUGAUGAUACAUUACAGACAUUUAACAUGUUAAACAAAUCUAGUUUAAUAUAAAGGGUAAAGAUUAUUGUUUGAAGCUGUCUCAUAUAAAUGUUAUAUACUUAAACGAUAAGUCUAAGGAAUAUGUAAUUGGGAGAAUGUAAUCUAAAGAAGUUAGAUUCAUGAGACCAUUCUUUUUUAUGAACUCUCCAUUCGGUUCCGACCAGAAAGUGUCUCUAGUGUAUUGACACUACGACACUAAUGGGGCAAUAGCUCAAGCCAAGGAAUCAAGGUCUUAUCAAGAUCUGAACUCAAAUGAACCACAUGAUUGAGAAUCAUGUAUAAUGGUGACGUUGUUAUUCUCAAGGUUGCUUCUAUGGAUAACAUAUAGAUAUCCAUUGUUUAGGCCAACUACUUAGCAAUUUUUGAAAUGAAUUCAGAAGAGGUAUCAUCACUGAUGACCAAGCUAAUUGGCUCUAGUGCAAGUAGGAGAUUGUUGGAAAUGUGCCCUAAAUCCAAUCAUAUGAUGAUACAUUACGGACAUUUCACUUGUUAAGCUAAUCUAGUUUAAUAUAAACGGCAAAGAUUAUUGUUUGAAGUCGUCUCAUAUAAAUGU